AAACUCAUUAUUUCAAAGUACUGACAUAAACCAUUUCAAAAAAAAAUGAACCCCCAAGUUCUCAUUCACAUAAUGAAGAGACAACAGUUUCAUAAAGAGAAACAUGCAUUCCAAUUUCUGAAAAAAAUGCAUUUCAACAAAAAAAUACUUUCCAAUUACAAUUCUGUUUCACAUCACGAAUGUUAGUUUCACAAAUCCGCAUUUCACAUCAGAUAUAGCAGUUUGACAUAUCUACAUAUCUAUUUCGAUUUCGGUACAACAAUAUCACAUAUAUCACACAAUCUGCUAUAGAUCUUCCCAUCGAUUUCAAUUAGACACCUUCAUUUCCAUCAAAUAUAAAAGUUCAAUAUAUCACACAAGCAGGGGAGUUGUCCAUCUAGUGAGGAAGCAAGGGGGGAUCUCAAAACAUGUACCAUAAAACAAAAAUCAGGAAGUAAACACAGAGAUAAAGAUAUUAGGGGAGUUGUGCUUACUCGGGGGUGGACGCAUAUGGUCGUGGGCUUCAUGACUCACCAGAUCCGGUGGCGGUCAUUCUUGGAUUCGCCGGAUCCGGUGACGACCCUGCUCAUCGAACCGUCGUGCUAGGUGGAUGCUGUGGAGGAAUAACAACGGAGCAGAUCUCCCCAACGCCAGCGCCCACGGCAAGGCGGGGUCAGGAGGUUAGGACCGGCGGACUUUGUCGGUCCUAGAGGAGAGGUGGCGGCGAUAUGUGGAUGUUAGAUGGUACUAGGGUUGUUCGGGCAGGGAAGGCAUCACUGACAAAUAUAUAGUAUGGGUACUGAGUGAGAAGACCACAUGACUUAUAUCUGAUGGCUCAAAAUAUAACUUGUUUAUGUCCACACAACAAAUAAUGGCAUGUCACCAAAAUAGUAAAGUUAUAUGUAAACAUCUGGAUCCCAUGUAACAAUAUAUUCCAAAAACAACAAUGAUAAUUUGGCAUAGAAACAUAUGUGCUUAUAUAUACAUAUGAUUUUUUUUUCAAAUAUGGCAAUACCAAAAUGUUUUGCAUGACAAUUUUUCUUUGUUCUCUUGUUUGUUGCUCCUCUUGCCUUGUUCAUUUCUAGAACUUGCGAGAAUGCGACAAAUCGAGUUGGAGUUAAUGCACUUCAAUGCGACAACAACAAAGUAGAGUCUAGAGUGGCUAGUGUUCGAAUGUGUGUGGAAGAGGGAGGGGUUGCUAGUGUUCAAUAAUAACAUAGGCCUCCUCACGGGUGACAAUGUUACGACUCAGGGGGGCCUCACCAUAUAGAAAGUCGGCCUAACAGGCCGACGUAUGGCCAUUAGGUUGGUAUAUGCCUUGGGUCGUCAUCUCAGCAUGUGGGCUUUCUAGAAGGAGGGGUCUGGAAGACUUGGCAAUCACGACAAGGAAGAUGGCUGACAGUGUGAAAUACAGUCAGAUCCCUCGGUAGGGGUCCAAGCACAGCUGGAAGUCUUAGAUUGAAGGUCACACAAGGGGUUUAUCCAGGUUUGGGCCUCAAAAGAGUAAUACCCUACGUCCUGCUUGUUUGGUUAUUCAUGGUGGAGGGAUACCUCGUGCGAGAAGAUACCAAUAGUGCAGGCGGGUCCUAUACAAACUGUUUUUACCCCCUUUCCACGACGGAGUUUUAAACCGCCGCCUUGCCUGUGUGUGCGAUAGGUGGGUCCAUCCCACACGACCCAGAAAUAAUCGCCGAUAGUUCCUCCGGUCACCCACGCGGGGCAAAAAGAGCUCGUGGCGAUCGGACGAGCCAUCAAAAACAAUUAUACAGAGCAAAUCAUGUGAGAUGUUCUUAGUAACCCACUUAGUGAAUCCCAAACAAACGUUUUCAUUCAUGUGUACAUCACACACAAUUUUCCGCAUCACAUCAUCUGUGAUAGCGUUGCCAUGACGGACGAUAUUCAUAAUUUUAUCGUUUGUGUUGUUGGAUGCAUCACACACGGUACCUAGAAGAAACUGUAUGGCAUAGGCUGUCCAUCACACACAGUUUUUAUGUGAAAACGUUUGUGCAAGGUGGCCUAUGAUGUGAUAGGUGGGAACCCGAUGAACGAGUUCACGCCUGAGGGUGGUCCGAUCUUCACGUCGUAGGAUCGAAUCGGGAUGGAUAACUAGCUGCAAGCAGCCGGGAUAACUAGCUUUAUACCUGCCAAGGUUGGAUGCAACCCAUACAUUGGGGACGGCUGACCGAAGCUACCAGAACUCCAACCUGCUGUCCGAACAAUAGCAUAACCACAAACGGGGACUAACCCACACAAAAUGGCCGGAACCGUAGAGCACGAAUUAGGGGGAACCAGAGGAUCCUUCUCGCGAAUUCGGAUGAACUCGCAAGAGCAAAGGUAGCAAGGAUCUCUCGGAUCUCUCUAGCAGUCUUGCUGCAUAAGCUUGUAGCUGAUUGGCUUGACAAAAGGUUCUUUCUAGAGGAUGGGGGAGGUGGGGUUUUAUAGCAGGGACAACCCCCUUAGCUAGGUGUGAAAAUGGUUUCAAAAGUAAACAAGUUUGGAUGGCUUCCUUGGGGGAAUAAGCAGUCAACUUUGGGAGUUGUUGGAGAACUCCUCGGAAAUUCGCGAAGCCUUGACACCCUGGACACCUUCCACGAGAUUGGCUAGAACUUUUGACUCACAACUCCAAAUGAUGUGAGGUUUUUUUGCAUUGGAGAGAUAAUUUGAUGUAGCUUCUGGUGAUGUACCCCUAUGGCCCCGUCCCUCCACCACAUGGGUGUGGCAGAAUAAAACAUCAUAGGUAAAAACUAAUAGCAUCAGCUUCACUUGAAAGUUGUUAUCUCCAAACUUGUUCCUCCAAACCGGUUGCUUCAAGAGCUCAUAGGUUGUUGGAUUUCUUCCAUGUGAUAUCUAAGUUCAACCAACAACAAUGGGGAUGAAAGUGCAACCAUGUAUUCAAGAUUAUAGUAUGAACUUAAGUUAGCGUUCACUUGGGCAUGUGUUUGCUUGAUUCGGCUUAGUAAUUAUUUCCAACUAAAUUUUGCACAUUUCUGAAAAGUCGUGUAUGAUGUACCCAUGUGCUCAUCAUCCUCCCUCCCUUGAUGAAGAGUCGUCCUCAACUCUCGUUGAUCUACAAAAGAUAAGUAGAAGGGAAGUAGAUAAUAUUCAUGCAAAGGAAUAAUGCAAUCCUCAUUUGUAGCUUUCACCUUAGAAUUGUGUUGUAUCUGAUCAUGCAUUUGUUUAUCACAACUUGGAGUUUGUCUAGGGAUGAUCGGUGUUGUUUCAAUGAUUGAGAUGUCCUCAUCACCCCCUCUCUUGAAAAAGAGUCGUCCUCAACUCUACCUGGUCAUCACACAAAAGAAAUCAGGGCAAUAGCAAACCAUAAUGCAAAGGUUUCAUGAUAUAGAGAUUUUUAGUUUUCAAGUUUGCUACCUUAUUGGAUGAUGCCAACAUGAUAUUUUGUUCGACUUAGGAGUUCCUUCUACCAAACAUUUCCAUGGAGCACAAAUUUAUAACCAACCAUGAGCAUGUCCAUAUCAUCCUCCCUCUCUUGGAGAAAAGUCGUCCUCGAUUUUACCCGGUCUACAAAAUUAUAACACAAGACACUAGAAAAUAACUAGGGAAAGAAAAAAGUUGAACAUUUUUGUGUGGAUCUCAAGUUCCGUGAAUACAUUUUUUCCAUCAUGGUUGAACAACUUAUAUUGAUGGAUUGAUGGUGCGCUGAAGGAUGUGCCCAAUAUUUUUUCUCUUAUUUCAUUUCGCCAUUGUUUCAAUGGUUUAUAUGUGCAUACGUCGGGGUGCAUCAAAAUGGAAGAUCCUUUUUGUUUUACCUCAUUGAGUACUUGAAUGCCUUUCUGAAAAUCAAUCUUCACACACGCACCUUGUGUAGUGGUACUCCAUGUCCUCCAUAUUUGUUCUUGGAUCUCGAUCUCCCAUCAUUGCAAGUGGGCUGAUAGGUAUGCCUUUUGCACCUGCACAUAUUUCAAUGACAGAGAAUUUUGUGAAAGGUUAGUUAUUGAAUGUUCCUCUCUCUUUUCAUUUGGUGGACUACUAAUUUCCCAUGGUGGUGGAUCACUCAUCUCGCUAUUAUCUUGUUGAAAAAUAUCAACCUCACAAUUAGUGGACUCACACAACUCAUUAAUCCUCUCUCCGUAAAUGUGUGGUAUAUCUAGGUGGGGAUCUUGCAUUUCUCUAAUCUCAUGAUGAACAAUCUAAUCCUCAUAUUUUGUGGACUCACUCACCUCACUUUUCUUAUCACACUCAAUAUAUGGAAUUGUGGAAAGUGGACACUCUUCCUCACAUUUGGUGGAGUCACUCAACUCAUUUUUCUUUUCACUCUCAAGUGUUGGGAUUUUUCAAAGUGGACACUCUUCCUCACUUUUGGCGGAGUCACUCAGCUUGCUUUUCUUAUCACUCUCAAGUUGUGGGAUUUUGGAUUGUGAACUCUCUUCCUCACAUGGAAUUUGUGGCACAUGUUUCCUGGAUGUUGGGACAAUAGUGGUGGUCAAGAUGGGAACAUUAGGAAUGAACUUCUCAUGUAAACAUGGGCUAUGAAUCACCGGAGUCGGUUCAUCAACCACGGUCAUGUUUUGCUGUGGGUCGUCGCUGUGCCGAUGGGUGCCAUAACUUCGUUGUCUGCCGUGACGUCCUUGCUAUGAUUCAUGAGUAGCAACAACACUCCUAGGGGCAGAAGUAGCUUUCCCUCGAGCAUGUCCUCCUUACCGCAUUUCAGGAGCAAUAGCAGCACACCCACGAGCAGUAGCGACACCAUGCCCUUGAGCAUUGUUUCUUUGCUGCACUUCAUGAGCACGAGGGUAUUGUCGGUGUUGAACCCUAUCACCACUUGCUGGAGGACGCUCGUGAAGCAUCCGCUCCAUGGCUCAGAGUAUGUUGUUCUCGAGUUCCUGCACAUCAGAGCGGGUGGCCGAACAAUUUUCUCCACCAUGAUUCUUUCAGAACGUACUUGGUGUAGAUCAUGCCAUGUUAGUGGUGCUACAAAAGUGGAAUAGGAUAAUUUUUGUGGUAUCACACAACCUCACCGCUUACUCACUGUAACAUCCCAAAUUUUCAAUUUGGUAUGUUAUACAUAGAUCAUCAUUGCAUAUCAUAUUUUAUUGCAUUUUGACAAAUCCUCGAUAAAUCCUAAGCAACUCAAGCACCCUCGGAGAGAGUUGGGGAUUUUCUCGAAUUUUCAUAUUUGAUUUCCAUCAAAUAAUAAAACGAGGAUUUUUGGUUUUAAUUAUUUUCUCUCAGGAAAAAUAUUUUGAAAAAAUAAAUGAGAGGAGAAAAUAUGACUUCUCCAAAACAAUUGAAAUAUUGGAGGAAAAGUGUUAAAAUCAUUUAUUGGAUUUUAUUCGGAGUUUUGUUUGCAAUUUUAAUUGCAUUAAAAAAAUAUUGCAUGUUUUCAAAAAUUUAUUUUGUGUCAAACAAAUGUUCACCCUGUUCUAAAUAUUCUAACUAGACGGGGAAAAUUUAUUUUAUCUUUUUUGGAUUUUUACUUAUUUUUCUAAGAAUUGUUCGGCGGAACGUUAAAAAAAAACCGCGCCGCGCGCGGCCGCCCGAGUUCCAGCCGAGCCGCCGGCCCACCCCACCGUCUCCCUCGCGCAGCCGCCGCCACCGCGCCCGAGUCCGCCUCNNNNNNNNNNNNNNNNNNNNNNNNNNNNNNNNNNNNNNNNNNNNNNNNNNNNNNNNNNNNNNNNNNNNNNNNNNNNNNNNNNNNNNNNNNNNNNNNNNNNNNNNNNNNNNNNNNNNNNNNNNNNNNNNNNNNNNNNNNNNNNNNNNNNNNNNNNNNNNNNNNNNNNNNNNNNNNNNNNNNNNNNNNNNNNNNNNNNNNNNNNNNNNNNNNNNNNNNNNNNNNNNNNNNNNNNNNNNNNNNNCCCGAGCCCCGCCGCAGCCUCGCCGGAGCCAGCCGAGCCCCGCCGGAGCCCACCCCGACGAGGUAUUGCCUCGCCGUCGUUUGCCGGUUUUGUUUAAAAAAACGUUCGUUUAAAAAAAACCCUAGAUCGGUUUAUUUCUUCGGUUUUGUUAUUUUGUGAGCGUUCACCGACUCGUUCGUUUUAGCGGACGCGCUCGUCGGAUUUUCCCUGUUAACGAACGUCCGUUCUUUAACCGUUCGUCCGUUUUUCUUUUUCGUCGGCUUUUUCCGCGAUUAUCUCAGAUCUCGAUUUCUGAUCGAAUCUUCGUUUCUGUUUAACUUUUCGCUCGUUUAUCGGAAUCAGGCGAUUCAAGCACCUAGAGUUUCGUCUCGAAAUUCUCUUUCCGUUUAACCUCCUCAAACAAGUUUUUGCUACUUUAAAAUUUGACCUAGAUCCAGAUUAGUAAACGAAGCUUGUUUCUUUCGCCGUUUGACUUUCGUUGCUUCGUUCGAGUUGAUUCUUUUUGCAAACCGGAGUUCUUAAGUUGAACUUUCUGGUUGGAUCUUUCAUUCGAGUUUUACCUGUGCAUUAGAUGAGUACUGAUUGUCUGCUUGUUUGUUUGCGAUAGAGUACCCGGAGUGUGCCGCUUGUUACUUCGAAUCGCUAGGUUUCGCGGAUCAUCAGCAAGGCAAGUAACACUUUGAUCAUACUUUCCAUACCCAAUUUUAUUGCAUUAGAUCUAUUCCUCAAACAAUUGCAUGAUUAGGAUCUAAUUAAAUUGUGGGAUUUUGGGAAGUAGUUGAGGUAGUACCUAUUAUCUGUUUUCUUAUCAAACCCUUGGGAGAUUCUUCUACGUUGCUAUUAUAUUGCCAUGCUAUGCUCGUAGACGUGGAUUGGUUUUUGAGAGAUAUUCAUGACAGAUGUGAGAUUGUUAAUAAUGGUUUACCUAAGGUGGCAACUAAAACUCACAUCUGGGUGGAUUGAGGCACCUGGAGAAUCCAGUGUUGUCUGUAUGUAUAAGGACCGCCACCCAGGCUCAAAGGGAUCAUAAGAUUAUUCAUGCUAGAAACUUCCGUGUGCAGCCACAAGCAAUUAUGGGCUCUAGCAUAGUUGAGUAGGUUACAUGAUCUCUUGAAGAGGUGGGCUAGCAGAUGUAGGGGAAAGUAGGUGUACCGGUCCACCCGGAGUAAAGAGUGAUUAUUCCUGAAAGACUGUGUCUCGGUCAUCCGUUUCUCAAACAUCAUGCAGUGCGAGAAUCAAGCGGAGGCGAUCGAGUCUUGUGGGGAAAAGUGCGCAAACCUCUGCAGAGUGUACAAACUAAUCAUGGUUAGCCGUGUCCCCGGUUAUGGACAAUUUGAGUAUCUAGUACCUGGAUUAUCAUUUGAAUCUCAUCACCAUGUUACUUUUAAUUAAUUUUGCUGGGUUAAUGAUGAUUCUUAAUUGGGAUUGAGAUGCUGUCAACCAUCUCAAUAUUUCACAACCACCAUGAUAGUUAAAUAAAUGUUAUUCCUUUGAAGUAGGGAAAAAUUGGCUUUUCGCAAAAACUUAACCGUAGAGCUUUCCACCAGCCAUAUAUGCAUGAAGUAUAGCCUUAUUAUUGUUCAUUAUUCUCUAUGUGUUACUUUGCCAGCAUAUUCUAUGUGCUGACCCGUUUUCGGGCUGCAACGUUUCAUGUUGCAGACUUUUCAGACGAUAAGGAAGGUGCCUUAGGUCGUGGUCUUAUACUCAGUGAUGCCGCUGGAGUUGAUGGACUCACUUAUCUUCCAAGUCUUCCGCUGUUAUCGUAUUUAGAUGGCCUUAAGCCAUAUUUAUCAUACUUCAUCUCUUUGGAGAUAUUCGAUGUAAUAAGUGUGUGAUUGCUACUCUGUUAUAAAUCCUCCAUUUGAACUGUGCGUGUCAGCAUUACUAAUCCAGGGAUGACACUGGUGCACAGCAGCACAGACCAUUUGAGGUCUGGUCGCUACAAAGGUGGUAUCAAAGCACACGCUGACUGUAGGACACGACCACUAAGCUUAAGCCCUAGAACACUUCUCUCUUCUCAUUUCUGACCCCUCUCCUUUUUCUACUCUUUUAGGAAUGGCGGAUGCAAGGAGCAAGUUCAUGCAACCAGAUGAAGACACGCCUUUUGGUCGACACUUGAAGGAAGUCACUAAGUAUUUGAACAUAGGAAUACCAAGCAUCACCGGAACCUACAACGCCACAUUACCCGAAGAGGAGAGCUGGAAGAUUCAAGUUCACAUUCCAGGAAGGACGUUUGUGCCAGUUACUGAACCCAUAAGAUUGGUUUUCGAAGCACCAACCUGGAGUUUAGGGAAGAGCAUGGCCGCUCGCAUCGCUAUGGGACGCAUUGGAGAAGUCUACCACCAGGAGCUUAAGGAUACAAUUUAUCAGAUUUGCGGACGCCGAGACGCACAAUGGGAGAUGAUCAGAACCAAGAAGGAUGGAUCAAUUGCAGCUUUCAUCCAGGAGCAAAACCAACACAUUCGUCGCCAGGAGAACCAGUUGUGCACGGACAAGGAAGAACUGAAGAAGGCAUUAACCAAGAUCAAGGAGCUGGAGGAAGAACUCAAGGCUACACGCGAGGAUUAUAUGGAGGAAAUCAUCGCACUAGUAGGGAAGAAUGACGACCUGGAGAAGAAGAUUGGAGUAUUCAUGGGAAAUCCAGUGCCAAAAGCAAAGGUUGACGAAUGCGCUUGCCCGGAUAACUACAUCAUCAUCGAUGACACUGACUCGGAACCAAGUGAAGAUGACUUUUUUGACGAAGCUGGAGCAGACAUCAUGGAAUCUUCAACGGAUCAGAAUUUCUAGUAGACCACCAUAUCAGUAGUAGUUUUCCCCCAUUUAAUAGUAUAGUUCAAGCACUUUGUAACGCUAGUUAGAUCGAUUGUUAUGCCUUGUUUGAAUUGAUUGAGUGAUAUUGAUUGUAUUUGUCUCAUGAGCAUAUGGGUAGUGUUUUCCCUCUAGACCUCAUUCUAUUCUUAACUCUCAUCUUUUCUAACCCAUCAGAUGCCUCCGAGACGCGACACCAGAUUUGUUUUCCCACCGGAGAUCACCCAGUUGAUUCAGCAACAGAAUGCCCUGAUGCAAGUGUUAGUGCAGAACCAAGGCAACAACAACAACAACCCACCGCCACCACCACCUGUUGAUCACUUAGCCCGUUUCUUGAGGCUAAACCCGCCGGUGUUUUCCCGUAGCAUCGAGCCGAUUGUUGCAGAUGAUUGGCUCCGCAAAGUUGGAAGGGAGUUGACCACUACGGGAUGCACAGAUGCGGAAAGAGUGCAUUUUGCCGCACAUCAGCUUGAUGGACCCACAGCAUCAUGGUGGGAGAAUUAUACAGCCACGCACCCUAUUGACACUGUCACAUGGGACCAGUUUCAGCAAGCUUUCCGUACAGCUCAUGUUUCAGCAGGAGCUAUGGCUAUGAAGAAGCGCGAGUUUCGCAACCUACGCCAAGGAGGACGCACCGUAGGCCAGUAUGUGGAGGAUUUCAGUAAGUUAGCACGUUAUGCACCAGAUGACGUUGCUACAGAUGUUGCCAAGCAGGAGAAAUUUUUGGAAGGACUGAAUGAUGAACUGAUUAUGCAGUUGAUGGUAGCAACCUUCAACAACUACCAGGAGCUGGUAGAUAGAGCUCUCAUGAUUGAAGGAAAGCAACAGCAGAUUGAAAACCGUAAGAGGAAGUAUGGACAAGGGAAGUACAAUUCUGGAGCUCAGCAGAAGCCACGAUUUGCCCCGAAACCGGGAGGACAGUUUCAGCAUACCCAUGGAGGAGGUAGUUCGCACAACCAUAAUGGCUCCAAGAAUGGUAAUGGGAAUGGAGGAACCAACGGAUAGAACCGCACCAACCCAUCUACCCCAGCCAAGAGGGAUCUAAGUCACGUUACUUGUUUCAAAUGCCAGAAGACUGGACAUUAUGCAACUGAUUGUCCUGAAGCCCAAAAUGGAAAUGGCAAUGGAAGCUCUGGGAAGAAGCCGAACCCAUUCAACAAAGGACAUGUGAACCACGUGAGCGUGGAGGAGGUUGAAGCUCAGCCUGAUGCAGUAAUAGGUAAGUUUUUGGUUAAGUCAUUUACUGCAACCGUUCUUUUCGAUACUGGUGCAUCACAUUCAUAAAUAUCAAGGGGAUUUGUGAAUAAGUUUAAGCUGUCCACCCAAGUUCUCAAAACCCCUAUGUUAGUAACCUCGCCAGGAGCAGAGUAUAUGGCAAGCCAAGGAUGUUUUCAGAUACCAUUGGCCAUUGGUAGGCAUGUUUUCCCCUCAGACCUCAUAGUUUUGGAGUCGCAAGGUUUGGAUGUGAUUUUGGGAAUGGAUUGGCUAUCGUUGUAUGGAGGAAACAUCGAUUGUGCCAGCAAGACAAUUUUGCUUACCACCCCAGAAGGAAAAAGGAUCAAGUAUGUAUCCCGGCAUAUGCCGAAGAGGACUCAAGUGAAUUCCUUAUUAGGAGUUGUACAGGAGGAAGUACCAGUGGUGAAGGAUUACCCGGAUGUAUUUCCAGAAGAGUUGCCAGGCAUGCCACCAGAUAGAGACAUUGAGUUCUUGAUUGAACUUUUGCCAGGCACAGGGCCAAUAUCUAAGAGACCGUACAGGAUGCCCGCAAAAGAUUUGGAGGAAAUUAAGAAGCAGAUCAAGGAGUUACUGGAUAAAGGCUAUAUUCGCCCAAGUUCGUCACCUUGGGGAUCACCAGUACUUCUAGUGGAAAAUAAAGAUGGAUCGCUGAGGAUGGUUGUUGAUUACCGUGGAUUGAAUGAAGUGACCAUCAAAAACAAGUACCCGCUGCCGAUGAUCAAUGAUUUGUUUGACCGCCUACAAGGAGCUAAAGUAUUUUCCAAGAUCGAUCUACGAUCAGGAUACCAUUAGUUAAAGAUUCGAGAGUAGGAUAUACCUAAGACGGCUUUUACCACCAGAUAUGGAUUGUAUGAGUAUACCGUUAUGUCAUUUGGUCUGACUAACGCACCUGCCUAUUUUAUGAACCUGAUGAACAAAGUGUUUAUGGAGUUUUUGGAUAAGUUCGUCGUGGUGUUCAUUGACGAUAUUUUAGUCUUUUCCAAGAAUGAGGAAGAGCAUGAGGAGCAUUUACGAUUGGUACUUGAGAAGCUCAGAGAACAUCAGUUAUAUGCCAAGUUCAGCAAAUGCGAAUUUUGGCUGAAGGAAGUUGGAUUCCUUGGACAUGUUAUUUCUGGAGAAGGAAUAGCAGUAGACCCUGCCAAGAUUGACACAGUAACAAGUUGGGAAUCACCCACGACAGUUGGAGAAAUCCGGAGUUUUCUUGGACUUGCAGGAUACUACCGGAGAUUCAUCGAGAAUUUCUCGAAGAUUGCUAAGCCCAUGACUGAGCUAUUGAAAAAGGACACCAAAUUCAAUUGGACUGAGGAAUGUGAAGCUAGUUUCGAAGAGUUGAAGAAACGAUUGGUUACAUCACCAGUGUUGAUUCUGCCAGAUCAACGCAAGGAUUAUGAAGUUUAUUGCGACGCUUCACGUCGAGGACUUGGAGCAGUGCUUAUGCAGGAAGGAAGAGUUGUGUCAUAUGCUUCACGACAACUUAAACCCCAUGAGAAGAAUUAUGCUACGCAUGAUUUGGAGUUAGCAGCCGUGGUGCAUGCAUUGAAGACAUGGAGACAUUUUCUCAUCGGAAACCAUUGUGAGGUGUACACGGAUCACAAGAGUUUGAAGUAUAUUUUCACGCAGAAGGAGUUAAAUCUCAGACAGAGGAGAUGGUUGGAGCUUAUUAAGGACUAUGAUAUGAGAUUGCAUUAUCACCCAGGAAAGGCUAACGUAGUAGCAGACGCGUUGAGCCGCAAGAGUCAUGUCAACACCCUCAUGACAGGAGAGUUACCUCAGGAGUUAGCCGAGGACCUUCGCGAGCUAUGUUUGGAGAUAGUCCCAAGAGGCUAUUUAGCGACAUUGGAGAUUCAGUCUACCUUGAUGGAAAGGAUCAGAGAAGCUCAGAAGAUAGACAAGGAGAUUGAAGAGAUAAAGGAGAAGAUGAGCAAAGGAAAAGCCAAGGGAUUUCGUGAGGAUGAGCACGAUACCUUAUGGUUUGAGGACCGCGUAUAUGUGCCAAAUGAUCCGGAGAUCAGGAAGUUGAUUUUGCAAGAAGCCCAUGAUUCGCCGUACUCGAUUCACCCAGGGAAUACCAAGAUGUAUUUGGAUCUGAAAAAUACUUUCUGGUGGACCGGAAUGAAGAAGGAUAUUGCAGAGUACGUAGCAGUUUGUGAUGUAUGUCAGAGAGUGAAGGCAGAGCAUCAGAAGUCAGCAGGAUUGCUACAACCAUUGCCGAUACCCGAAUGGAAGUGGGAUAAAAUAGGCAUGGAUUUUAUCACAGGAUUACCCAGGACUCGUUCGGGCUAUGACUCAAUAUGGGUUGUAGUCGACCGUUUGAUGAAAGUGGCUCAUUUCAUUCCAGUGAAGACCACUUACACCAGUGCUAAGUUGGCAAAGAUAUACAUGACCAGGAUCGUAUGUUUGCAUGGAGUUCCGAGGACCAUUGUAUCAGACAGAGGAACCCAAUUUACCUCGAAGUUUUGGAAGCAGUUACAUGAAACAUUGGGAACCAGGCUAGAAUUUAGUACAGCUUUUCACCCACAGACAGAUGGACAGACCGAGAGAGUCAACCAGAUUUUGGAGGACAUGUUAAGAGCUUGUGCAUUAGAUUAUGGAUCUAGUUGGGACGACAACUUGCCAUAUGCGGAGUUUUCUUAUAACAACAGUUAUCAGACCAGUUUGAAGAUGGCCCCUUUCAAAGCCUUGUACGGAAGGAGGUGUAGAACACCGUUGUUAUGGGACGAAGUUGGAGAUCGUCAGUUGUUUGGACCAGAUUUGAUUAAGGAGUCUGAACAGAAAGUAAGGUUGAUUCGCGAUAGGCUCAAGGUAGCCCAGUCCAGGCAGAAGAGUUAUGCUAAUUCUAAACGAAAGGAGACAGUUCACGAAGUCGGAGACCGAGUUUAUCUUUGAGUAUCACCACUUCGAGGAGUGAAGCGCUUUGGAGUUAAGGGAAAGUUAGCGCCCCGUUUUAUCGGACCAUACAGAGUUGUGGAACGUAUGGGAGAGGUUGCCUACAAGCUACAUACGGGAGAGGUUGCCUAGAGUUCAUGAUGUAUUUCACGUCUCCCAGUUGAAGAAGUGCCACGCAUAGAUGGCUGAGAUACCACUGAGAGAUACUGUGCCACUGGAAGCAAUUCAACUGGAAAGUGAUUUGACCUAUGAGGAGAAACCAGUUAAGAUUCUUGAGUAUGCCAGCCGAGUUACCCGCAGUAAGGUUAUCAAGUUUUGCAAAGUCCAGUGGAGUCACCACACGGAAGGUGAAGCCACCUGGGAGCGAGAGGAAGAUCUACGGAAGGACCGCUCCCACCUGUUUUCUAGCCAACCCGAAUCUCGAGGGCGAGAUUCAUCUUAAGGGGGGUAGGUUUGUAACAUCCCAAAUAUUCAAUUUGGUAUGUUAUACAUAGAUCAUCAUUGCAUAUCAUAUUUUAUUGCAUUUUGACAAAUCCUCAAUAAAUCCUAAGAAACUCAAGGACCCUCGGAGAGAGUUGGGGAUUUUCUCGAAUUUUCAUAUUUGAUUUCCAUCAAAUAAUAAAACGAGGAUUUUUGGUUUUAAUUAUUUUCUCUCCGGAAAAUAUUUCAAAAAAAUAAAUGAGAGGAGAAAAUAUGACUUCUCCAAAACAAUUGAAAUAUUGGAGGAAAAGUGUUAAAAUCAUUUAUUGGAUUUUAUUCGGAGUUUUGUUUGCAAUUUUAAUUGCAUUAAAAAAAUAUUGCAUAUUUUCAAAAAUUUAUUUUGUGUCAAAAAAAUGUUCACCCUGUUCUAAAUAUUCUAACUAGACGGGGAAAUUUUGUUUUAUCUUUUUUGGUUUUUUAUUUAUUUUUCUACGAAUUUUUCGGCGGAACGUUUAAAAUAAAAAAACCGCGCCGCGCCCGACCGCCCGAGGCCCAGCCGAGCCGCCGGCCCACCCCGCCGUCUCCCUCGCGCAGCCACGCCGCCACCGCGCCUGAGUCCGCCUCGAGCNNNNNNNNNNNNNNNNNNNNNNNNNNNNNNNNNNNNNNNNNNNNNNNNNNNNNNNNNNNNNNNNNNNNNNNNNNNNNNNNNNNNNNNNNNNNNNNNNNNNNNNNNNNNNNNNNNNNNNNNNNNNNNNNNNNNNNNNNNNNNNNNNNNNNNNNNNNNNNNNNNNNNNNNNNNNNNNNNNNNNNNNNNNNNNNNNNNNNNNNNNNNNNNNNNNNNNNNNNNNNNNNNNNNNNNNNNNNNNNNNNNNNNNNNNNNNNNNNNNNNNNNNNNNNNNNNNNNNNNNNNNNNNNNNNNNNNNNNNNNNNNNNNNNNNNNNNNNNNNNNNNNNNNNNNNNNNNNNNNNNNNNNNNNNNNNNNNNNNNNNNNNNNNNNNNNNNNNNNNNNNNNNNNNNNNNNNNNNNNNNNNNNNNNNNNNNNNNNNNNNNNNNNNNNNNNNNNNNNNNNNNNNNNNNNNNNNNNNNNNNNNNNNNNNNNNNNNNNNNNNNNNNNNNNNNNNNNNNNNNNNNNNNNNNNNNNNNNNCCCUCUCACCCAAGCCCGCCCGAGCCGCCGCCGCCUUGCGGCGCCGCCCCGCUCGCCGCUCGCCGCCGCCGGAGCCCGCCCCGACGAGGUAUUGCCUCGCCGUCAUUUGCCGGUUUUGUUUAAAAAAACGUUCGUUUAAAAAAAACCCUAGAUCGGUUUAUUUCUUCGGUUUUGUUAUUUUGUGAGCGUUCACCGACUCAUUCGUUUUAGCAGAUGCGCUCGUCGGAUUUUCUCUGUUAACGAACGUCCGUUCUUUAACCGUUCGUCCGUUUUUCUUUUUCGUCGGCUUUUUCCGCGAUUAUCUCAGAUCUCGAUUUCUGAUCGAAUCUUCGUUUCUGUUUAACUUUUCGCUCGUUUAUCGGAAUCAGGCGAUUCAAGCGCCUAGAGUUUCGUCUCGAAAUUCUAUUUCCGUUUAACCUACUCAAACAAGUUUUUGCUACUGUAAAAUUUGACCUAGAUCCAGAUUAGUAAACGAAGCUUGUUUCUUUCGCCGUUUGACUUUCGUUGCUUCGUUCGAGUUGAUUCUUUUUGCAAACCGGAGUUCUUAAGUUGAACUUUCUGGUUGGAUCUUUCAUUCGAGUUUUACCUGUGCAUUAGAUGAGUACUGAUUGUCUGCUUGUUUGUUUGCGAUAGAGUACCCGGAGUGUGCCGCUUGUUACUUCGAAUCGCUAGGUUUCGCGGAUCAUCAGCAAGGCAAGUAACACUUUGAUCAUACUUUCCAUACCCAGUUUUAUUGCAUUAGAUCUAUUCCUCAAACAAUUGCAUGAUUAGGAUCUAAUUAAAUUGUGGGAUUUUGGGAAGUAGUUGAGGUAGUACCUAUUAUCUGUUUUCUUAUCAAACCCUUGGGAGAUUCUUCUACGUUGCUAUUAUAUUGCCAUGCUAUGCUCGUAGACGUGGAUUGGUUUUUGAGAGAUAUUCAUGACAGAUGUGAGAUUGUUAAUAAUGGUUUACCUAAGGUGGCAACUAAAACUCACAUCUGGGUGGAUUGAGGCACCUGGAGAAUCCAGUGUUGUCUGUAUGUAUAAGGACCGCCACCCAGGCUCAAAGGGAUUAUAAGAUUAUUCAUGCUAGAAACUUCCGUGUGCAGCCACAAGCUAUUAUGGGCUCUAGCAUAGUUGAGUAGGUUACAUGAUCUCUUGAAGAGGUGGGCUAGCAGAUGUAGGGGAAAGUAGGUGUACCGGUCCACCUGGAGUAAAGAGUGAUUGUUCCUGAAAGACUGUGUCUCGGUCAUCCGUUUCUCAAACAUCAUGCAGUGCGAGAAUCAAGCGGAGGCGAUCGAGUCUUGUGGGGAAAAGUGCGCAAACCUCUGCAGAGUGUACAAACUAAUCAUGGUUAGCCGUGUCCCCGGUUAUGGACAAUUUGAGUAUCUAGUACCUGGAUUAUCAUUUGAAUCUCAUCACCAUGUUACUUUUAAUUAAUUUUGCUGGGUUAAUGAUGAUUCUUAAUUGGGAUUGAGAUGCUGUCAACCAUCUCAAUGUUUCACAACCACCAUGAUAGUUAAAUAAAUGUUAUUCCUUUGAAGUAGGGAAAAAUUGGCUUUUCGCAAAAACUUAACCGUAGAGCUUUCCACCAGCCAUAUAUGCAUGAAGUAUAGCCUUAUUAUUGUUCAUUAUUCUCUAUGUGUUACUUUGCCAGCAUAUUCUAUGUGCUGACCCGUAUUCGGGCUGCAACGUUUCAUGUUGCAGACUUUUCAGACGACGAGUAAGGUGCCUUAGGUCGUGGUCUUAUACUCAGUGAUGCCGCUGGAGUUGAUGGACUCACUUAUCUUCCAAGUCUUCCGCUGUUAUCGUAUUUAGAUGGCCUUAAGCCAUAUUUAUCAUACUUCAUCUCUUUGGAGAUAUUCGAUGUAAUAAGUGUGUGAUUGCUACUCUGUUAUAAAUCCUCCAUUUGAACUAUGUGUGUCAGCAUUACUGAUCCAGGGAUGACACUGGUGCACAGCAGCACAGACCAUUUGAGGUCUGGUCGCUACACUCACCAAAGUUCUUAUGAGUUCACAUCAGAUUGUGCUUUUCCCGGAUGUGUUAAAGCGAUUGAAAGACAAGGAUCAAAGAACUAGCUUCGGUUUUCGGUGGAGGUCAAUGGGGUAAAAAAAUGGGUUUGUGCUGAAAUCAAGUUGAUGCAAACCAAGAAAAUAUGGGUAUAGAUCUGCUGCACCUUUGCACCAAGAUUGAAAAACACACAACACACAAGCUUCUGAAAUUUUUCUACCAAGCUGAAACUUUUGGAUCUUACACAACACUUUCUUUUUUCUCUUGACUUUUUUGCCACUCUUUUUCUUUCUUUCUUUAAUUUUUUUGCCACCCUUUUUUCACUCUUUUUCCAAAGCACAACAACCAAACUAAAAACAAUUACGAAGAUGAACUUGGUGCAUAUCUAAAAGAUGAAGAAAAUGCAAGAUAUGCAACAACAACAAGAUCUCAGUACCAACUAGGCUUGUAUUUAUUUUUGGUGGGGCUUUGGACUCCUAGAACGGAGAAUAUAGCAUGAAAAACACUUGAUCUAAAGGGAUGAUAGCAAGAUAAACUUGGAUAACAAAUCCUACCGUGUCAACGAAAGCUCUGAUGCCAAAUGAUAGGUGGGAACCCGAUGAACGAGUUCACGCCCGAGGGUGGCCCGAUCUUCACGUCGUAGGAUCGAAUCGGGAGGGAUAACUAGCUGCAAGCAGCUGGGAUAACUAGCUUUAUAUCUACCAAGGUUGGAUGCAACCCGUAUGUUGGGGAUGGCUGACCGAAGCUAUAAGAACUCCAACCCGCUGUCCGAACAAUCGUAGAACCACAAACUGGGACUAACCCACACAAAACGGCCGGAUCCGUAGAGCACGAAUUAGGGGGAACCAGAGGCUCCUUCUCGCGAAUCCGGAUGAACUCACAAGAGCAAAGGUAGCAAGGAUCUCUCGGAUCUCUCUAGCAGUCUUGCUGCAUAAGAUUGUAGCUGAAUGGUAUGACAAAAGGUUCUUUCUAGAGGAUGGGGGAGGUAGGGUUUUAUAGCACGGACAAACCCCCUUAGCUAGGUGUGAAAAAGGUUUCAAAAGUAAAUAGUUUUGCAUGGCUUCCUUGUGGGAAUAAGUAGUCAACUUAGGGAGUUGUUGGAGAGCUUGAUACGUUUCCAACGUAUCUAUAAUUUCUUCUUGUUCCAUGCUGCUAUAUUAUCAUUCUUGGAUGUUUUACAAUCAUUUUAUAGCAACUUUAUAUCAUUUUUUGGGACUAACCUAUUGACAUAGUGCCCAGUGCCAGUUCCUAUUUUUUCCUUGUUUUUUACUUUGCCGAAAAUCAAUACCAAACGGAUUCCAAACGCAGCAAAACUUUUUGGAGAUUUUUUUUGGACCAGAAGGGACAAGUUGGGCAAAAGAAGUACCAGAGGGGUGCCCCGAGGGGGGCACAACCCACCUAGGCACACCUGGGGGCUCAGGCGCGCCCUGGUGGGUUCUUCCCGCCUCGGUGGCCUCCCGCACCGCCUCUUUGCUCUAUAAAUACGCCGAAUAUCCAAAAACCCUAGCGGAGUUGACGAAACACAAUUCCAGCCGCCGCAAGUUCCAGAACCACCAGAUCCAAUCUAGACACCAUCACGGAGGGGUUCAUCAUCCUCAUUAGUGCCUCUUCGAUGAUGCGUGAGUAGUUCAUUAUAGACCUACGGUUCCAUAGUUAGUAGCAAGAUGGCUUCCUCUCUCUCUUUUGAUUCUCAGUACAAUGGUCUGUUGGAGAUCUAUUAGAUGUAACUCUUUUUGCGGUGUGUUUGUUGGGAUCCGAUGAACUUUGAGUUUAUGAUCAGAUCUAUUUUAUCCGUGAAAUUUAUUUGAGUUUUGAUCUCUUGUAUGCAUGCUUACUUUUAGCCUCGUAUUUCUUCUUUGAAUCUUUGGUUUAGUUAGGCGACUAGAUCGAUUUUUCUUGCCAUGGGAAGAGGUGCUUUGUGAUGGGUUCGAUCAUACGGUGCUCAAUCACAGUGAUAGAAGGGGACAUGACAUGUAUGUAUCAUUGCUAUUAAGGAUAACAAGAUGGGGUCUAUUCCUACGUGAAUAGAUCUUGUCUACAUCAUGUCAUCGUUCUUAUUGCAUUACCCCGUUUCUCCAGAACUUAAUACACUAGAUGCAUGCUGGAUAGCGGUCGAUGUGUGGAGUAAUAGUAGUAGAUGCAGGCAGUAGUCGGUCUACUAAUUUUGGACGUGAUGCCUAUAUAAUGAUCAUUGCCUGGAUAUCGUCAUAAUUAUUUGAAGUUCUAUCAAUUGUCCAACAGUAAUUUGUUUACCCACCGUAUGCUGUUUUUCUUUUCAGAAGCCACUAGUGAAAUCUACGGCCCUCGGGUCUCUUCUUUACCAUAUUUGCUUUCCGAUCUAUUAUUUUUCUCUUUUAUUUUUAGAUCUAUUAAUCCAAAAACCCAAAAAUACCUUGCUGCAUUUUUUUGUUAUUUAUUUUAUCUCGCAUUCCCGCGAGAUCAAUUUAUCCAAUCUACUACAAUUUUAUUUAUCUUUUACCCGGGAGGGAUUGACAACCCCUCUUACGUGUCGGGUUGCAAGUAUUUGUUUUUUGUGUACAGGUACCGUUUACAUAGUGUUGCAUGGUUCUUCUACUGGUUCGAUAACCUUGGUCUCAUCACUGAGGGAAACACCUACCGUAGAUGUGCUGCAUGAUCCCUUCCUCUUCGAGGAAAAUACUGGCGCAGACAUGAGCCUUCAAGGAAGGAUUUCUGGUGCCGUUGCUGGGGAGACAUCAUCAACAUCUAUCAGGUUCCUAAUCACAAAUCUCAUAUCCUCGCAAUUUACAUUAUUUGCCAUUUGCCUCUCGUUUUCAUCUCCCCCACUUCACAACAAAAUUUGCCUUUUUAUUUGCCUUCUUUUUCGUUUUCCUUUUUGCGUGUUUUCUUGUUUGCUAUCUUUGCUUGUGUUGCCAUGUGCCUUCUAUUUGCUUGCAUCUUCGCUUGCUAAAAAUCUAUUGAUAUAGAUCCUCAUCCACUUGCUAAUCUUUUCAAAAGAUCCAAUUAUGAUGAACCAAUUGCUAGUGAAUUGAGUUCACUAGAUUAUAUUUAUGAAAUUUUGCUUGAGAUUUAUGAAUCUGAAAAUUGUGAUGAAGUGUUAAAUGAAGAAAUUUAUAAAGUGAUUCAUGAUAGCUCCUUGAAUGAAAAGCAUGAUAGUAAUGAUGUUAUUAUAAAUUCUAUUAAUGUCAAUUGUGUUAGUGAUAUGCAAAACCCCAAGCUUGGGGAUGCUUGCUUUGCUAUGUCCACUACUUAUUGCAAUGAUCAUGAUUGGGGUGAUAAUGAUUCUUAUGAUCUUGAAGAUUUAUUUAAACCUCAUGAUGAAUAUGCUUGCGAUAAUAUUAAAAGUGGGUUUGGAAGGGUGUCAACUUUAGCUAAAAAUAAUCCCACAUAUUUGGAGAGUGUUCAAUCUUAUGAUUUUUUUUAUAAAAGUGGGCUUGGAGAGGUCAUAACUGUAUUUGAUGAUAAUCCCACUAUUUUGGAAGAGUGUCAACUUUGCAUGCAUGUGGGUCAUGAAGAGAAUAUUUUAUGUGAUAGUUAUAUUGUUGAAUUUGAUUAUGAUCUACCUGUAAUUAUUAUGAGAGAGGAAAAUAUGGUUAUCAAAAUUUGCAUGUUACUAAAUUACCUCUCGUUAUGUUGAGAUCGUCAAUGUUUUAUUCCUCUUCUUUGCAUACGUUAGAUGUUUCUUGUCUUGAUAAAUUUUUUCCCUAUAAAAUGCCUAUGCAUAGGAAGUAUGUUAGACUUAAAACUUGUUUUUCACAUGCUAUAUGAUGCUCUCUUUGUGCUUCACUUUUUUGUCUUUCAUGUGAGCAUCAUUAAAAUUAUUAUGCCUAGCUAGGGGCACAAAACGAUAUCGCUCGUUGGGAGGCAACCCAAUGAAUAAAUUUUAUUUUUUAUUUCUUUCUUUCUGUUCUUGAGUGUUUCCACAAUUAUGCUACUGUUAUGAUUGUGUCUUUAUGUUUAAUUUAGUGUCUGGGCUAAGCAAAGCCUUUGGGAUCAUGUUGGGUGAUAGUUGAUUUCAUCUUGUCGAAAAACACAAACCUUUGCGUCCAGUAAAACAAUUUUCAAAAUUCACAGAUGCGUGAUAAAUCCUGAUUUUUGUACACAAGAUUGAUAUACAAAUUGCUUACAUCGUCCUAAUUUUUCAGAAUUUUUGGAGUUGGAGAAGUAUACUAAGUUUUCAGAUUGCUAUAGACUGUUCUGUUUUUGACAAAUUCUGUUUUCUUUGUGUUGUGUGCUUAUUUUAAUGAAUCUAUGGACUUUAUCAGGGGGUAUAAGCCAUAUAAAAGUUUGAAUAUGGUAGAUAUAAUGCAAAAAUAAAAUAUAAAUGGGUUUGCAACAGUACUUAGAGUAGUGAUUUGCUCUAUUAUACUAACGGAUCUCAUGAAGGUUUUGUUGAGUUUUGUGUGAUUGAAGUUUUCAAGUUUUGGAUGAGAUCACGAUGGAUGAAGGAAUACGGAGUAAGAAGAGCCUAAGCUUGGGGAUGCCCCAUGGCACCCCAAGUUAUUAUCCAAAGAGAAGCAAGCAACUAAGCUUGGGGAUGCCCCCGAGUGGCAUCCCCUCUUUCUUCUAACGACCAUCGGUAUUUUACUUGGAACUAUAUUUUUAUUCGUCACAUAUAAUUAGUUUUGCUUGGAGCGUCUUGUAUUAUAUGAGUCUUUGCUUGUUUUGCUUUUUAUUUUGUGUCCUCUAUCCUUGCUGGACACACCUAUUUGAGAGAGUCAAAAUUAUGCUAUGAUUUGUUAGAAUUGCUCUUUAUGCUUCACUUAAAUUUUUUGAGCUUUGGAAUUGCUCUAGUGCUUCACUUAUAUCUUUUUGAGCACGGUGUGCUUUAGUAUUUUUGAAGAAAUGCUCUCAUUGCUUCGCUUAGAUUUAUUUGAGAGUUAGUAAAAUUUUGAAGAAAUUCUCUCUUGCUUCACUUAUAUUAUUUUGAGACAAGAAAAAAGAUUAUCCUCAUGUUCUUCAUUUAGAUUUGUUUGAGCUAUCAAAAGCAACAUAUGAAAUUAGUCCCAAGGUGAUAGAUAUUCAAGAGGGAUAUAAUAAAAACUAUCAUGAAGAUCAUUGGACAAAAUAAACUUCAUUACUUGUAAUAGUUUUGCGAUAUGAUGAUAUAAAUGUGAGUCAUGUUGAUGAGUAAUUAUGCUUUAGUAAGAAUAUUGGUGUUAAGGUUUGUGAUUCCCUAUGCAAGCAUGAAAGUCAAUAGUUAUGCAAUGAGAUUACAUCCUACUUAUGGUGCAUUAUUCGGUGUUAGUUAUGCUUAAUGCUCGUUUAUGUGAUUUUUCGUUUCUUGGUUGGAUGCUUCUCAAUCUAUUUGCUAGCCUUCCCUUGUACUAAGUGGGAUUACUACUUGUGCAUCCCAAAUCCUUAAACCCAGUUUUGCCAUAUGAGUCCACCAUACCUACCUAUAUGCGGUAUUCUCUUGCCGUUCUAAGCAAAUUUGUUUGUGCCAUCUCUAAUUUUCAAAAUAAUUUCUCUUUUGUGUGCUCGUACCGCUCAUGAAACGGUAGGGGGUGUCUGAUAUUUUUCCAUGCUGGGUGUGUUAUUCUCAAGAUGAGUGUUUAUUCACUUGUCAUUGCACGAGAGUAUGACAAAGGUUUUAGGGAUGUCCAGACCCGAAAUGAUAAAUGAUCUUACUUUAUGUUGUCAACUAAUAAAUUCCUUGGAAGGUGUUGGUAUGGACAUCACCCGUGGAUACGGUUAGCCAUGGAAUGUGAAAGUAUGGUGGAAAAAGGAAUAAACUUUAAUUUCUGUUUGGGAACCGCCUAUGAUAUAUCUAGCAUGAAAAGUAUUGGGAACUACUCGAUCAUUUUCGUUGAUAGGAAAAGAAUGCCACCCAAAAUGUUUUAUCUCUAUCCUUUUCGCUUCGAGCUCUGGUACCUCUACAAAUCCCUACUUCCCUCUGCGAAGGGCCGUUCUAUUUACUUUAUGCAAUUUUUAUUUUUAUUUUGAGUCUCCAUCUUCUCUUAUAAAGCACCAACUAAGGGGCACUAUGAUUGUACUUGAGCAUUAGGUAUUGCUAAUAUACGAGUGUGUUUGAUGAAUGGAUCAGUGAUUGAGCGGGAUGGCCUAGGGAUAACUUGCUUUAGUAUCGAUAUUUUGAAAGACAUGGUUGCUUGUUGAUAUGCUUGAGUAUUGAAAUCUUCAUGUCAAAACUAGACUAUUGCUUUGAAUCAUAUAAAAGUCCAAAUGUCCACGCUAGAAAAGAAAAGAAUAUGUGAUGAACAUGUUAGGCAGCAUUCCACAUCAAAAAUUCUCAUUUACCUACUCAAGGACGAGUAGGAAUUAAGCUUGGGGAUGCUGAUAUAUCUCUCGGAUCUCUCUAGCAGUCUUGCUACAUAAGCUUGUAGCUGAAUGAUUUGAUAAAAGGUUCUUUCUAGAGGAUGGGGGAGGCGGGGUUUUAUAACAGGGACAACCCCCUUUAGCUAGGUGUGAAAAUGGUUUCAAAAGUAAACAGGUUUGCAUGGCUUCCUUAUGGGAAUAAGCAGUCAACUUUGGGAGUGGUUGGAGAGCUCCUCGGAAAUUUGCGAAGCCAUGACAGCCUAGACACCUUCCCUAGGAUUGGCUAGAACUUUUGACUCACAACUCCAAAUGAUGUAAGGUUUUUCUUGCAUUGGAAAGAUAAUUUGAUGUAGGUUCUCGUGAUGUACCCCAAUGGCCUUGAUGGCUCGUGUCCGUGUCAGUAUUUUCCCCCAAGAGGAAGGGAUGAUGCAGCACAGCUACGGUAGGUAUUUCCCUUAGUGAUGAGACCAAGGUUCUCAAACCAGUAGGAUAACCACGCAACACUAUGUAAACGAUACCUGCACACAAAGAAUGAAUACUUGCAACCCGACGCGUAAGAGCGGUUGUCAAUCCCUCCCAGGUAAAAGAUAGAUAAAUUUGUAGUAGAUUGGAUAAAUAGAUCUCGCGGGAACGCGAGAUAAAAUAAAUAACGAAAAAUGGUAGCAAUGUAUUUUUGGGUUUUUGGAUUAAUAGAUCUGAAAAUAAAAGAGGCAAAUAAUAGAUCAGAAAAGCAAAUAUGAUAAAGAAGAGACCCGGGGCCCGUAGAUUUCACUAGUGGCUUCUCUCGAGAAAAAUAGCAUACGGUGGGUAAAUGAAUUACUGUUGGGCAAUUGAUAGAACUUCAAAUAAUUAUGACGAUAUCCAAGCAAUGAUCAUUAUAUAGGCAUCACGUCCAGGAUUAGUAGACCGACUCUUGCCUGCAUCUACUACUAUUACUCCACACAUAGACCGCUAUCCAGCAUCCAUCUAGUAUAUUAAGUUCAUGGAACAACGGAGUAAUGCAAUAAGAACAAUGACAUGAUGUAGACAAGAUCUAUUCAUGUAGGAAUAGACCCCAUCUUGUUAUCCUUAAUGGCAACGAUCAAUACGUGUCUUGCUGCCCCUUCUGUCAUUGGGAAAGAACAUUGCACGACCUAACCCGUCACAAAGCACCUCCUCCCAUGGCAAGAAAAAUCAAUCUAGUUGGCCUAACUAAACCAAAGAUUCGAAGAAGAAAUACGAGGCUAUAAGUAAUCAUGCAUAUAAGAGAUCAAAACUCAAUUAACUUCCAUCGAUAAAAUAGAUCUGAUCAUAAACUCAAAGUUCAUAGGAUCCCAACAAACACACUGCAAAAAGAGUUACAUCAGAUCUCCAAGAGACCAUUGUAUUGAGAAUAAAAAGAGAGAGAGGAAGCCAUCUAGCUACUGCCUACGGACUCGUAAGUCUACAAUGAACUACUCACGAAUCAUCGGAGAGGCACCAAUGAGAUGAUGAACCCCUCUGUGAUGGAGUCUAGAUUGGACCUAGUGGUUCUUGAACUUGCGGCGGCUGGAAUUGUGUUUUGUCGACUCCCCUAGGUUUUUGGAUUUCUGAGGUAUUUAUAGAGCAAAGAGGCGGUGCAGGAGGCCACCGAGGUGGGCACAACCCACCAGGGCAUGCCCAGGCCCCAGGCGUGCCCAGGUGGGUUGUGCCCCCCUCGCGGCACCCCUCUGGUACUUCUUUGGCCCAACUUGUCCCUUCUGGUCUAGAAAAAAUGUCCAAAAAGUUUCGCUGUGUUUGGACUCCGUUGGGUAUUGAUUCACUGCGAAGUAAAAAAACAAGGAAAAACAGGAACUAGCACCGGGCACUAUGUCAAUAGGUUAGUCCCAAAAAAUCAUAUAAAGUUGCUACAAAAUGAUUGUAAAACAUCCAAGAAUGAUAAUAUAACAGCAUGGAACAGGCAAAAAUUAUAGAUACACUGGAGACGUAUCAGGCCCCGUCUCUCCACCACAUGGGUGUGGCACAACAAAACAUCAGACGUAAAAACUGAUAGCAUCAGCUUCACUUGAAAAUUGUUAUCUCCAAACUUGUUCCUCCAAAUCGGUUACUUCAAGAGCUCAUUGUUUGUUGGAUUUCUUCCAUGUGAUACCUAAGUUCAACCAACAACAAUGGGGAUAAAAGUGCAACCAUGUAUUCAAGAAUAUAGUAUGAACUUAAUUUAGCGUUCACCUCGGCAUGUGUUUGCUUGAUUCGGCUUAGUAAUUCUUUCCAACUAAAUUUUGCACAUUUCUAAAAAGUUGUGUAUGAUGUACCCAUGUGCUCAUCAUACUCCCUCCCUUGAUGAAGAGUCGUCCUCGACUCUCGUUGAUCUACAAAAGAUAGGUGGAAGGGAAGUAGAUAAUAUUCAUGCAAAGGAAUAAUGCAAUCCUCAUUUGUAGCUUUCACCUUAAAAUUGUGUUGCAUCUGAUCUUGCAUUUGUUUAUCACAACUUGGAGUUUGUCCAGGGAUGAUCGGUGUUGUUUCAAUGAUUGAGAUGUCCUCAUCAUCCCCCCUCUCUUGAAAAAGAGUCGUCCUCGACUCUACCUGGUCAUCACACGAAAGAAAGCAGGGCAAUACCAAAUCAUAAUGCAAAGGUUUCAUGAUAUAGAGAUUUUCAGUUUUCAAGUUUGCUAUCUUAUGGAUGAUGCCAACAUGAUAUUUUUUUCGACUUAGGAGUUCCUUCUAGAAAACAUUUCCAUGGAGCACAAAUUUAUAACCAACCAUGAGCAUGUCCAUAUUAUCCUCCCUCUCUUGGAGAAAAGUCGUCCUCGACUUUACUCGGUCUACAAAAUUAUAGCACUAGGACACUAGAAAAUAACUAAGGAAAGAAAAGGUUGAACAUUUUUGUGUGCAUCUCAAGUUUCCCAAAUCCAUUGUUUUUCCAUCAUGGUUGAACAAAUUAUAUUGAUGGAUUGAUGGUGUGCUGAAGGAUGUGCCCAAUAAUUUUUUCUCUUACUUCAUUUCGCCAUUGUUUCAAGAGUUCAUGUGUGCAUUGUCGGUGUCAAAACCGGCGGAUAUCGGGUAGGGGGUCCCGAACUGUGCGUCUAAGGCGGAUGGUAACAGGAGGCGGGGGACACGAUGUUUACCCAGGUUCGGGCCCUCUCGAUGGAGGUAAUACCCUACUUCCUCCUUGAUUGAUCUUGAUGAUAUGAGUAUUACAAGAGUUGAUCUACCACGAGAUCGUAGAGGCUAAACCCUAGAAGCUAGCCUAUGAUUAUGAUUGUUGUUAUCCUACGGACUAAACCCUCCGGUUUAUAUAGACACCGGAGGGAGCUAGGGUUACACAGAGUCGGUUACAAGGGAGGAUAUCUACAUAUCCGAAUUGCCAAGCUUGCCUUCCACGCAAAGGAGAGUCCCAUCCGGACACGGGACGAAGUCUUCAAUCUUGUAUCUUCAUAGUCCAACAGUCCGGCCAAAGUAUAUAGUCCGGCUGUCUGAGGACCCCCUAAUCCAGGACUCCCUCAGUAGCCCCUGAACCAGGCUUCAAUGACGAUGAGCCCGGCGCGCAGAUUGUGUUCGGCAUUGCAAGGCGGGUUCCUCCUCCGAAUACUCCAUAGAAUAUUUUGAACACAAGGAUCGUGUCCGGCUCUGCAAAACAAAUUCCACAUACCACCGUAGAGAGUACAAUAUUCCACAAAUGUAAUCUGCUCACAAGUUUUAUAGCGUGACAUCACGCCACGGCCCGGUCAUUAUUCGAACCGUUUUUCCCAACCAACUACUGCACAUAUUGCGAGGCGGUUUUCUUGGCACGUCUUGUCGAAGCAGAGAUCGUGUCCCCUCAUCACGGGAUUCUCAUCAAUACGGGUGUGGGUAACCCAACCGUGCCAUCAAUUACGGCGCUUGGGGAAUAAGCGGGUUUACCAGGCAAGUGGGGAGGCGCGCAGUUUCUACUGCCUUUAUAAAGGGACAAGGACUCCUCUUUUUCUCCCACGCCUUCUUCUUCCUUGCCCAUCCAUUCCCACGCACUCGAGCUCCAGCGCCCAAGUUCGCAUUUUCUCCACAAAACCACUCCAAACAUGUCCGGAGCCGGAGGCAAAUGGAUGGUCUCCUCCGUUACGGAGGAGGACAUUACGAAGCUCCGGGGAGCCGGAUACCUGGCUGCAGACAUCACGCACCGGCUCCCAGACGCACGGCAGAUCGUCCCUACUCCAGAACCCCAUGAGAGGGUGGUAUUUCUUACCCACUUCAUCAGUGGACUGGGAUUUCCCCUCCACCCGUUUGUCCGCGGGCUCAUGUUUUACUAUGGGCUGGACUUCCAUGAUCUGGCUCCUAACUUCAUCCUCAACAUCUCGGCGUUUAUCGUCGUGUGCGAGGCCUUCCUUCGCAUCAAGCCCCACUUCGGCCUAUGGCUGAAGACCUUCAACGUGAAGCCAAAGGUGGUAGUUGGUCAGCAGGCGGAGUGUGGAGGCGCCAUGGUGGGCAAAAUGCCCAACGUCACCUAGCUCAAAGGCUCCUAUGUGGAGACCGUGAAGGGGUGGCAAUCGGGGUGGUUCUACAUCACCGAGCCGCGCGACACCAACUGGGUGGCGGCCCCUGAAUUUCGAUCCGGCAUCCCCAUGCGGCUCACCUCCUGGAAAGAGAAGGACCUAUCUUUGGGCUCGUCGAUGGAGCUGACCGGACUCCAGAAAUGUAUCAAAAACAUGAUGAGAAAGAAAAUCAAGCUCGUCAACGUGCUCCAGGUCAUGCUCUUCCGCCGGAUCCUCCCGUGUCAAAGACGGGCAUUCAAUAUGUGGGAGUUCGACCCGGCCGAGCACCAGACGCUGCGAGAGCUCUUCGACGCGACUCACAAAGACGUCUGGAAGGUUCUGUUCAAGGGCGCCGAGGUGCCUCCCCCCUUACCGAGGAUCGCGGACUCAGCGCAAAGCGCCCUGCCAAUCCGGUAAGUGUUUUACCUCUCACAAGAUGUUCUUUUUCCCCAGUAAAAUCAUGUGGGGGAUCUGAGCUUCCCCGCCAUUUUAACAGGACUGGGUAGCGACAGCGGAGCAGAUCGAUUGUCCAGCCCCCUGCCCAAAGAUCCAGCAGAUGCUCUCCUAACGGAGAUGCUGGUUCCAGCGCCUUAUGAGGCGCCGGAGAAGAAGGCCAAGAAGAAGGCCACGGGGACCAGGAAAGGUCUCCGGCGCAAGGUUAUAUCGGACUCAUCGUCCGAAAACACCGAGGUGCACUCCUCCCAUGAAAAUGAGGAGGAGGAAGAGGGAAGCCCCCCCCCCCCCCCGGCCGGGGGGACAGGAAAAAGAAGGCCGCCCCAUCAGGGGAGGCCAAAGGGUCCAAGAAGGGGAGGACCCUCCUUCCGGACUACUCCACAACGGCCGCUUACAGCGACGAGGAGUGGUUGCCCAGGGACAAGCCCCUGGAGAAGUCGUAAGUAUUCGGAUACCACAAUAGCCCUGGUAUGUUCUGUUGUGUUGCUUCUCAUAAUGCCGAACAUGAUCAUGCAGUCCCUCCAAAGCCCAUAUCGACGUAUCCUCUUCGGAUGGGUCUUUGGGCCCGUUGGCGAUGAACAACGAUUCACUCCCGACCGCCACCUCUCCCCGCCCUACGGACAACGCCGAGGUGUUGUCUCAAAGGGUAUUGAUCCAAGGGGAGAUAGUCCUGGAGGCGCCCCAAGGCGACAUCCCGGACUCUAGGCGCAUGAGGGGCAAGACUUCCAUGGGCACUAAUGCCGGGGCAGCAAGUUUAGCCCCCAGCCGAAUACUGCGCCGGAACCUCCAGUGGUUCCGGAUUCUGUCAGGCGACCCCUCACUAAGGGGGGCGAGCCGUCUGCGCCGAUGACCUCUGUCCAUCCAGAGGCAUCAGACAACUUGCUGGAAGCGCUUCGCGGCACUUCCAUUGAUGAAGAGCACCGCACUAUCAUGAGUGCAGUGGUCAAGAAGGUUUAGUCCGCCAAAAGCGGACUGACUGAAGCCUGUGCCAGCCUCCUAACAGGCUUUGAGGUAAGUAGUCAAAUUAUAAGAAAAUGUCAUAGCAUAGACAGUAGCCCCUGAUGCUCUGUUUGGCGUUCGUAAAGAAAGGCCGAACAGAGGAUCGAAUAACAAUCACAGGAGUCUAAUCAGAGUAUGUCUAUGUGAAUAAGCUUGCUUCACUGCUGGCCGCUGCCGCUCGUACUGCGGAGGUCGCCGCACUGAAGCGGGACCUUGAGGGGUCGAAGGAAGAGCUCGGCCUUACCAAGAGGCAGCUCGAAGAGAACAAAGGUAAGUGAUACCCCGUCUGUAUAUUGAUAAAGAAAAAUGUGGUUUAAAUAAUAGAAUCGUCAUGAAUUUUGCUAGGGGCCACGACCGAAGUGGCGGCCCUGAAGAAGGCGCUGUCCAAGCCGAAGACAAAGCGGCCAAGAAGCGCACUGAGCGCGAGAGGCACGAGGCCCGAGUUGGCGAGGUUCAGCAAGAGCUCCAGGAUUUCGUCAAGAAAUACAAGUCCUUGGAGCGUGACUCUAAGACGCAAGGGUCCGAGCUUGCGAAGGCCCUCGAGAACGCACAAAAUGCCAAGGCCGAAGCCCAAAAGGCCCUCCAAGAGAUUUAGGCGGUUAAGAAGAUAGCGGCGGGUAAGGCAUUCAUUAUGCAAAGCAAGCAUGUGAAGAAAACUUUCCUUUUACUUACCCGAGUUUGGAGCUCUCCAGGAGCGUUUGCAGAUCUACCCCACAGUGUGUCGGAUGCCGCGGAAUUCUACUGGGCCGAGGAUGGGAGCUCGACAGAGAAGUUGUUCUGGUCUCAGUACACUGGGACUGAACAUCCGAUGCCCUUGAGCGACCAGUUGAAGCAACUGGUCGAACUUCACAAGGCGGCCGAACAGGCCAUGAAGGGCCUCAUGGUCCGGAUGUGGCCUGGCGAGCCCCUACCUGGCAGCUACUUUGGACUGGUAAGGCGGCUUGUGAAUGCCUGCCCACGGCUUGAAGUCAUCAAGCGGUCCGUCUGCAUUGAGGGUGCGCACAGGGCCUUUGCCUGGACGAAAGUGCACUGGGCGAAGAUGGACGGCGAAAAGCUGGUGAAGGAGGGGCCGCCGGAGGGCAAGGAGCAUCGCCACCCCGAGAAGUAUUAUGACAGUGUCCUGAAGGGUGCUCGCCUUGUGGCAGAGGAAUGUGCUAAGGAUGUAAUAUUUGAAUGAAUGUACUCAUGUGAUCCUGUAAUAUGAAAUGAGUUCAUCUGCGCUAUGCAACUCUUGUUAAUUUAAAAUAUUACCUUCUGUGCGGCCGUUUAUAAAAUCUGAGAGUUGGCCAGUCGUCGGCUUUUGCCCCCGUGUAGCUAGCACUGGGGUGUUCGGGAUAAACCUGAUCACUCUUUAUCCCAAUUUUUGGGUCCUUCGAAGGAGGUGUUCAGCACAACGAACCAGGCAAUCGGACUAUAAAGCUUUAUCACUCUCACUUAGCCAUAGAAGUCUACAAUUUUAAAUUUUGGCGAAGCCCCUAGUAUUCGGAAGGCCGAAUUUGGGGCGCUAUAUACGCCUAAAUCGGACAAGGCCGACUCCUCGCCCGAAGCGGAAAAAAUCUUUAAGGAUUUGAGACCUCUCGAACAGCGACCAGCUCUCGCCGCAUCUUGACAGUCAGUUUUCGGCUUUCUCUACUAAGGUGCUCAACCGGAAGAACCGAGACUCAAUCGCAGUAGUUCUCCCAGUGCUACCUUAGCCGAUAUAGCGGAACGUAAGGUACCAAAACAUGGGAGCCGGGCAAACCCAACUAUUGACCCAAGACAUGAUUCGGAGCUGAUGCAUAUAAUGCUAUAAGUUCGGGGUGCCGCACUAUCGAAAGUGUUCGGACUUUUCGUGCCGUGUUAUGGGGUACACUGAAGCCCCUGGCGCGCUUGUCGUACCAGAAUGUACGAGUGCCACUUGUCGUAAAUAAGCAGACAAGGAAAAAAAGAAAUGCAAUUAUAGGCUAACGCUAUACAUUGUUAUUUAAAUAAUACGUCAAAGCAUACGUAUACAAGUAGUGCAAUAAGCAAAAAAUAGGACUAUUUGACAUGUUCUAUCCAAGGGCAAGCUGCGUAUGGGUAUGUAAAAACAGGUACAUCGAUCGUUUAUCAGAGACCACCUGGGAAUUCCGUUGUACGUCAGAGCUUGUUGCUUCCUUGGUAUUUCCUUCCCUUAAUGGGUCCGACGAUCAGACUGCCGGAAAGGGCUUCCAGAGAAUAAGGUCCUGAAAGAGAGAAAAUGAUAGAGGUAUACGAUCCCUGAGGCGGUUGAGCCGCAUUGUGGGUCAUGCCAUAGCCGUGCCUCCGCCUAUGCCCAUGGUAUCUUGAGUGCGUAGUUAUGUACGCGCGGCACAAAUUUCGCCGCUUGACUGGGACUAUGACGGAGGCCGAAUUGCUACCCAAGCUCUGAACGUGCUUGGAGAUCCUGUUGCAGGUUACUUCGGACUCGCUUGAAGGUGUCCGGGUUCCUUUUUGCCGAAUUGGCGGUUGGCCUCAGAAGGCUGCUUUGUGCUUCCGCUGCGAGGGCUGCAGUGUGCUCCUCCGUGCGGAGCGAGCGUUCUGUGUUUCCAUUAACUGUUAUAACUCCGCGAGGUCCUGGCAUUUUGAGCUUGAGGUAUGCAUAAUGCGGUACCGCAUUGAAUCUAGCAAAUGCGGUUCGUCCGAGUAGUGCGUGAUAGCCACUGCGGAAGGGGACGAUUUCGAAGAUUAACUCCUCGCUUCGGAAGUUGUCCGGAGAUCCGAAGACCACUUCCAGUGUGAUUGAGCCCGUGCAACAGGCCUCUACACCUGGUAUGACACCCUUGAAGGUGGUUUUUGUGGGUUUGAUCUGAUCCUCGAGGGGUCUAUACCCAUUUUGCGCACUGUAUCCUGAUAGAGCAGGUUCAAGCUGCUGCCACCGUCCAUAAGGACUCGAGUGAGGUGAAAUCCGUCAAUGAUGGGAUCAAGAACCAAUGCGGCAGAACCGCCAUGACGGAUACUAGUGGGGUGGUCCCUGUGAUCGAAAGUGAUCGGACAAGAAGACCAUGGGUUGAACUUUGGGGCGACUGGCUCCAUCGCAUAGACGUCCCUUAGUGCACGAUUCCGUUCCCUCUUGGGAAUAUGGGUUGCGUAUAUCAUGUUCACCGUUUUCACUUGGGGAGGAAAUUUCCUCUGUCCUCCUGUGUAUUACAAGAUUUGAUCUACCACGAGAUCAUAGAGGCUAAACCCUAGAAGCUAGCCUAUGAUUAUGAUUGUUGUUGUCCUACGGACUAAACCCUCCGGUUUAUAUAGACACCGGAGGGAGCUAGGGUUACACAGAGUCGGUUACAAGGGAGGAGAUCUACAUAUUCGAAUUGCCAAGCUUGCCUUCCAAGCAAAGGAGAGUCCCAUCCGGACAUGGGACGAAGUCUUCAAUCUUGUAUCUUCAUAGUCCAACAGUCCGGCCAAAGUAUAUAGUCCGGCUGUCCGAGGACCCCCUAAUCCAGGACUCCCUCAUGCAUACCUCGGGGUGCAUCAAAAUGGAAGAUCCUUUUUGUUUUACCACAUUGAGUACCUGAAUGCCUUUCUGAAAAUCAAUCUUCACACACGCACAUUGUGUAGUGGUACUCCAUGUCCUCCAUAAUUGUUCUUGGAUCUCAAUCUCCCAUCGUUGCAAGAGGGCUGAUAGGUAUGCCUUUUGCACCUGCACAUAUUUCAAAGAGAGAGAAUUUUGUGAAAGGUUAGUUAUUGAAUGUUCCUCUCUUUUCAUUUGGUGAACUACUAAUUUCCCAUGGUGGUGGAUCGCUAAUCUCGCUAUUAUCUUGUUGAGAAAUAUCAACCUCACAUUUAGUGGACUCACACAACACAGUAAUCCUCUCUCCCUGAAUGUGUGGUAUAUCUUGGUGGGGAUCAUGCACUUCUCUAAUCUCAUGAUGAAUAAUCUGAUCCUCACAUUUUGUGACUCACUCACCUCACUUUUCUUAUCACACUCAAUAUAUGGAAUUGUGGACAGUGGACACUCUUCCUCACAUUUGUUGGAGUCACUCAACUCAUUUUUCUUUUCACUCUCAAGUGGUGGGAUUUUUGAAAGUGGACACUCUUCCUCAGUUUUGGUGGAGUCACUCCGCUUGCUUUUCUUAUCUCUCUCAAGUUGUGGGAUUUUGGAUUGUGAACUCUCUUCCUCACAUGAAAUUUGUGGCGCAUGUUUCCUGGAUGUUGGGAAAAUAAUGGUGGUCAAGAUGGGAACAUUAGGAAUGAACUUCUUAUGUAAACAUGGGCUAUGAAUCACUGGAGUCAGUUCGUCAACCACGGUAAUACUUUAUGGUGGGUCAUCGGUGUGCCGACGGGUGACGUAACUUUGCUAUCGACCAUGACGUCCUUGCUGCGAUUCAUGAUCAGCAAUAACAUGCCUAGGGGCAGCAGUAGCUUGCCCUCAAGCAUGUCGUCCUUGCCGCAUUUCAGGAGCAGCAGCAGCACACCAACGACCAGUAGCGACACCAUGCCAUGCAUGUGUUCUUUGCUGCACCUCAUGAGUAGAAGGGUAUUGUCGGUAUUGAACCCUAUCACCACCUGCUAGAGGACGCUCGUGAAGCAUCCUCUCCAUGGCUCGGAGUAUGUUGUUCUCGAGUUGCUGCACAUCAACACGGGUGGCCAAACAAUUUUCUCCUCCAUGAUUCUUUUGACGCGUACUUGGUGUAGAUCCUGCCAUGUUAGUGGGGCUACAAAAGUGGAAUAGGAUAACUUUUGUGGAAUCACACAACCUCACCUCUUACUCACCAAAGUUCUUAUGAGUUCACAUCAGAUUGUGCUUUUCCUGGAUGUGUUAAAGCGAUUGAAAGACAAGGAUCAAAGAACUAGCUUCGGUUUUUGGUGGAGCUCAGUGGGGUAAAAAAGGGGUUUGUGCUAAAAUCAAGUUGAUGCAAACCAAGAAAAUAUGGGGAUAGAUCUGCCUCACCUUUGCACCAAGAUUGAAAAACACACAACACACAAGGUUUUGAAAUUUUUCUACCGCUGAAACUUUUGGAUCUUACACAAUGCUUUCUUUUUCUCUCUUGACUUUUUUGCCACUCUUUUUCUUUCUUUCUUAAAAUUUUUUGCCACACUUUUUUUCACUCUUUUUCCAAAGCACAACAACCAAACUAAAAACAAUUACGAAGAUGAACUUGGUGCAGAUCUAAAAGAUGAAGAACAUGUAAGGUAUGCAAAAAGAAGAUCUCAGCACCAACAAGGCUUGGAUUUAUUUUUGGUGGGGCUUUGUACUUCUAGGACAGAAAAUAUAGCAUGAAAAACACUCGAUCCAAAGGGAUGAUAGCAAGAUAAACUUGGAUAACAGAUCCUACCAUGUCAACGAAAGCUCUGAUGCCAGAUGAUAGGUGGGAACCCGAUGAACGAAUUCACGCCCGAGGGGGGCCCGAUCUUCACCUUGUAGGAUCGAAUCAGGAGGGAUAACUACCUGCAAGCAUCCAGGAUAACUAGCUUUAUACCUGCCAAGGUUGGAUGCAACCCGUACGUUGGGGAUGGCUGACCGAAGCUACAAGAACUCCAACCCGAUGUCCGAACAAUCGCAGAACCACAAACAUGGACUAACCCACACAAAACGGACGGAACCGAGGCUCCUUCUCGCGAAUCUGGAUGAAUUCACAAGAGCAAAGGUAGCAAGGAUCUCUCGGAUCUCUCUAGCAGUCUUGCUGCAUAAGCCUGUAGCUGAAUGGUUUGACAAAAGGUUCUUUCUAGAGGAUGUGGGAGGUGGGGUUUUAUAGUAGGGACAACCCCCUUAGCUAGGUGUGAAAAUGGUUUCAAAAGUAAAUAGGUUUGGAUGGCUUCCUUGAGGGAAUAAGCAGUCAACUUUGGGAGUUGUUGGAGAGCCCCUGAGAAACUCGUGAAGCCUUGACAGCCUGGACACCUUCCACGAGAUCGGCUAGAACUUUUGACUCACAACUCCAAAUGAUGUGAUGUUUUUUUGCAUUGGAAAUAUAAUUUGAUGUAGCUUGUGGUGAUGUACCCCUAUGGCCCUGUCUCUCCACCACAUGGGUGUGGCACAACAAGACAUCAGAGGUAAAAACUAAUAGCAUCAGCUUCACUUGAAACUUGUUAUCUCCAAACUUGUUCCUCCAAACCGGUUGCUUCAAGAGCUCAUAGAUUAUUGCAUUUCUUCCAUGUGAUACCUCAGUUCAACCAACAACAAUGGAUAUGAAAUUGCAGCCAUGUAUUCAAGAUUAUAGUAUGAACUUAAGUUAGCGUUCACCUGGGCAUGUGUUUGCAUGAUUCGGCUUAGUAAUUCUUUCUACCUAAAUUUUGCACAUUUCUAAAAAGUCGUGUAUGAUGUACCCAUGUGCUAAUCAUCCUCCCUACCUUGAUGAAGUGUCGUCCUUGACUCUCGUUGAUCUACAAAAUAUAAGUACAAGGGAAGUAGAUAAUAUUCAUGCAAAGGAAUAAUGCAAUCCUCAUUUGUAGCUUUCACCUUAGAAUUGUGUUGCAUCUGAUCAUGCAUUUGUUUAUCACACUUGGAGUUUGUCCAGGGAUGAUCGGUGUUGUUUCAUUAAUUGAGAUGUCCUCAUCAUCCCCCCUCUCUUGAAAAAGAGUCAUCCUCGACUCUACCUGGUCAUCACAUAAAGGAAAGUAGGGCAAUACCAAAUCAUAAUGCAAAGGUGUCAUGAUAUAGAGAUUUUUACUUUUCAAGUUUGGUAUCUUAUGGAUGAUGCCAACAUGAUAUUUUGUUCGACUUAGGAGUUCCUUCCGGCAAACAUUUCCAUGGCGCAAAAUUUAUAACCAACCAUGAGCAUGUCCAUAUCAUCCUCCAUCUCUUGGAGAAAAGUCAUCCUCAACUUUACUCGGUCUACAAAAUUAUAGCACAAGGACACUACAAAAUAACUAGGGAAAGAAAAAGUUGAACUUUUUUGUGUGGAUCUCAAGUUUCCCAAAUCCAUUGUUUUUCCAUCAUGGUUGAACAAAUUAUAUUGAUGGAUUGAUGGUGUGCUGGAGUAUGUGCCCAAUAAAUUUUCUCUUAUUUCAUUUUUCCAUUGUUUCAAGAGUUCAUAUGUGCAUACCUCGGGGUGCAUCAAAAUGGAAGAUCCUUUUUGUUUUACCUCAUUGAGUACUUGAAUGCCUUUCCGAAAUCAAUCUUCACACACGCACCUCGUGUAGUGGUGUUGGAAAUAUGCCCUAGAGGCAAUAAUAAAAUGGUUAUUAUUAUAUUUCUUUGUUCAUGAUAAUUGUCUAUUGUUCAUGGUAUAAUUGUGUUGUCCGGAAAUCGUAAUACAUGUGUGAACACAUAGACCAUAACAUGUCCCUAGUGAGCCUCUAGUUGACUAGCUCGUUGAUCAAUAGAUGGUUACGGUUUCCUGACCAUGGACAUUGGAUGUCAUUAAUAACAGGAUCACAUCAUUAGGAGAAUGAUGUGAUGGACAAGACCCAAUCCUAAGCAUAGCACUAGAUCAUGUAGUUCGUUUGCUAAAGCUUUUCUAAUCUCAAGUAUCAUUUCCUUAGACCAUGAGAUCGUGCAACUCCCGGAUACCGUAGGAAUGCUUUGGGUGUACCAAACGUCACAACGUAACUGGGUGGCUAUAAAGGUGCACUACAGGUAUCUCCGAAAGUGUCUGUUGGGUUGGCACGGAUCGAGACUGGGAUUUGUCACUCCGUAUGAUGGAGAGGUAUCUCUGGGCCCACUCGGUAAUGCAUCAUCAUAAUGAGCUCAAUGUGACUAAGUAGUUAGUCACGGGAUCAUGCAUUACGGAACGAGUAAUGUGACUUGCCGGUAACGAGAUUGAACGAGGUAUUGGGAUACCGACAAUCGAAUCUCGGGCAAGUAACGUACCGAUUGACAAAGGGAAUUGUAUACGGGAUUGCUUGAAUCCUCGACAUCAUGGUUCAUCCGAUGAGAUCAUCGUGGAACAUGUGGGAGCCAACAUGGAUAUCCAGAUCCCGCUGUUGGUUAUUGGCUAGAGAGGUGUCUCGGUCAUGUCUGCAUGGUUCCCGAACCCGGAGGGUCUACACGCUUAAGGUUUGAUGACGCUAGGGUUAUAAGGAAGGUUUGUAUGUGAUUACCGAAUGUUGUUCGGAGUCCUGGAUGAGAUCCCGGACGUCACGAGGAGUUCCGGAAUGGUCUGGAGGUGAAGAUUUAUAUAUGGGAAGUCAUCAUACGGUCACCGGAAGUGUUCGGGGGUAUGCCGGUAUUGUACCGGGGCCACCGAAGGGGUUCCGGGGGUCCACCGGGAGGGUCCACCUGCCCUGGAGGGCCUUAUGGGCUGUAGGUGGAAGGGAACCAGCCCCUAAGUGGGCUGGGCGCCAACCCCCCUAGGGCCCAUGCGCCUAAGGUUGGGGGGAACCCUAAAGGGGGGCGCCCCCUUGCUUGGGGGGCAGGCCCCCUCCCCCUUGGCCGCCGCCACCCCUCUAGAGCUCAUCUAGAGGGGCCGGCCCCCUUCCCCCUUCUCCCUAUAAAUAGAGGGGUGAGGGGAGGGCUGCAACACCACAUCCAAGGCGCAGCCCCUCCCCUCCCCAACACCUCUCCUCCUCCGCGUGAGCUUGGCGAAGCCCUGCCGGAGAACUGCCACUCCAUCACCACCACGCCGUCGUGCUGCUGUUGGAUCCUUCUUCCUCAACCUCUCCCUCCUCCUUGCUGGACCAAGGCGCGGGAGACGUCACCGGGCUGCACGUGUGUUGAACGCGGAGGUGCCGUUGUUCGGCGCUAGGAUCGGAAUCCACCGCGAUCUGAAUCGCUACGAGUAUGACUCCCUCAUCCGUGUUCUUGCAACGCUUCCGUCUUGCGAUCUUCCACGGUAUGAAGAUGCACUCUCCUCUCUCUCGUUGCUUGUUACUCCAUAGAUUGAUCUUGGUGAUGCGUAGAAAUUUUUUGAAUUUCUGCUACGAUCUCCAACAGUGGCAUCAUGAGCUAGGUCUAUGCGUAGUUUCUAUGCACGAGUAGAACACAAGUUGUGGUGGGCGUCGAUUUUGUCAAUUUACUUGCCGUUACUAGUCUUAUAUUGAGUCGGCGGCAUCGUGGGAUGAAGCGGCCCAGACCGACCUUACACGUACGCUUACGUGAGACAGGUUCCACCGACUGACAUGCACUAGUUGCAUAAGGUGGCUAGCGGGUGUCUGUCUCUCCCACUUUAGUCGGAUCGGAUUCGAUGAAAAGGGUCCUUAUGAAGGGUAAAUAGAAAUUGGCAUAUCACGUUGUGGUUUUGGCGUAGGUAAGAAACGUUCUUGCUAGAAACCUAUAGCAGCCACGUAAAAAAAUUGCAACAACAAUUAGAGGACGUCUAACUUGUUUUUGCAGCAUGUGUCAUGUGAUGUGAUAUGGCCAGAAGGAUGUGAUGAAUGAUAUAUGUGAUGUAUGAGAUUGAUCAUGUUCUUGUAAUAGGAAUCACGACUUGCAUGUCGAUGAGUAUGACAACCGGCAGGAGCCAUAGGAGUUGUCUUAAUUUAUUUAUGACCUGCGUGUCAACUGGAACGUCAUGUAAUUACUUUACUUUAUUGCUAACCGUUAGCUAUAGUAGUAGAAGUAAUAGUUGGCGAGACAACUUCAUGAAGACACGAUGAUGGAGAUCAUGAUGAUGGAGAUCAUGAUGAUGGAGAUCAUCGUGUCAUGCCGGUGUCGAUGAUGAUCAUGGCGCCCCGAAGAUGGAGAUCAAAAGGAGCAAAAUGAUAUUGGCCAUAUCAUGUCACUAUUUGAUUGCAUGUGAUGUUUAUCAUGUUUUACAUCUUAUUUGCUUAGAACGACGGUAGCCUAAAUAAGAUGAUAUCUCACUAAAAUUUCAAGAAUUGUGUUCCCCUAACUGUGCACCGUUGCUAAAGUCCAUUGUUCCGAAGCACCACGUGAUGAUCGGGUGUGAUAGGUCCUAACGUUCGCAUACAACGGGUGUAAGCCAGAUUUACACACGCAAUACACUUAGGUUGACUUGACGAGCCUAGCAUGUACAGACAUGGCCUCGGAACACGGAAGACCGAAAGGUCGAACAUGAGUCGUAUAGAAGAUACGAUCAACAUGAAGAUGUUCACCGAUGAUGACUAGUCCGUCUCACGUGAUGAUCGGACACGGCCUAGUUGACUCGGAUCAUGUAUCACUUAGAUGACUGGAGGGAUGUCUGUCUGAGUGGGAGUUCAUUAAUAAUUUGAUUAGAUGAACUUAAUUAUCAUGAACUUAGUCUAAAAUCUUUACAAUAUGUCUUGUAGAUCAAAUGGCCCACACUAAUGUCAACCUCAACUUCAACGCGUUCCUAGAGAAAACCAAGCUGAAAGACGAUGGUAGCAACUAUACAGACUGGGUCCAGAACUUGAGGAUCAUCCUCAUAGCUGCCAAGAAAGCAUAUGUCCUUGAAGCACCGCUAGGUGAAGCACCCGUCCCAGUAAACCAAGACGUUAUGAACGCUUGGCAAACACGUGUUGAUGAUUACUCCCUGGUUCAGUGUGGCAUGCUUUACAGCUUAGAACCGGGGCUCCAAAAGCGUUUCGAGCAGCACGGAGCAUAUGAGAUGUUCCAAGAGCAGAAAAUCGUUUUCCAAGCUCAUUCCCGGGUCGAGAGAUAUGAAGUCUCCGACAAGUUCUACAUUUGUAAGAUGGAGGAGAAUAGUUCCGUCAGCGAACACAUACUCAAAAUGUCUGGGUUGCACAACCGCUUGUCUCAGCUGGGAGUUAAUCUCCCGGAUGACGCGGUCGUUGACAGAAUCCUUCAGUCGCUCCCACCUAGCUACAAGAGCUUUGUGAUGAACUUCAAUAUGCAGGGGAUGGAAAAGACCAUUCCUGAGGUAUAUUCAAUGCUGAAAUCAGCGGAGGUGGAGAUCAAAAAGGAACAUCAAGUGUUGAUGGUGAAUAAAACCACUAAGUUCAAGAAAGGCAAGGGUAAGAAGAACUUCAAGAAAUACGGCAAGGGAGUUGCCGCGCCAGGUAAGCAAGCUGCCGGGAAGAAGACAAAGAAUGGACCCAAGCCUGAGACUGAGUGUUUUUAUUGCAAGGGAAACGGACACUGGAAGCGGAACUGCCCCAAGUACUUAGCGGAUAAGAAGGCCGGCAAUACCAAAGGUAUAUGUGAUAUACAUGUUAUUGAUGUGUACCUAACUAGCGCUCGUAGUAGCUCCUGGGUAUUUGAUACCGGUGUGGUUGCUCAUAUUUGUAACUCAAAGCAGGAGCUGCGGAAUAAGCGGAGACUAGUGAAGGACGAGGUAACGAGGCGCGUCGGGAAUGGUUCCAAGGUCGAUGUGAUCGCCGUCGGCACGCUACCUCCACAUUUACCUACGAGAUUAGUUUUAAACCUCAAUAAUUGUUAUUUAGUGCCAUCUUUGAGCAUGAACAUUGUAUCAGGAUCUCAUUAGAUGCGAGAUGGCUACUCAUUUAAAUCCGAGAAUAAUGGUUGUUCUAUAUAUAUGAGAGAUAUGUUUUAUGGUCAUGCCCCGCUGGUCAAUGGUUUAUUCUUAAUGAAUCUCUAACGUAAUGUUACACAUAUUCAUAGUGUGAAUGCCAAGAAAUGUAAGGUUGAUAAUGAUAGUCCCACAUACUUGUGGCACUGCCGCCUUGGUCACAUUGGUGUCAAACACAUGAAGAAACUCCAUGCAGAUGGACUUUUGGAGUCUCUUGAUUAUGAAUCAUUUGACACGUACGAACCAUGCCUCAUGGGAAAAAUGACCAAGACUCCCUUCUCCGGAACAAUGGAGUGAGCAACCAACUUAUUGGAAAUCAUACAUACUAAUGUGUGCGGUCCAAUGAGCAUUGAGGCUUGCGGUGACUAUCAUUAUGUUCUCACCCUCACUGAUGACUUGAGUAGAUAUGGGUAUGUCUACUUAAUGAAACACAAGUCUGAGACCUUUGAAAAGUUCAAGGAAUUUCAGAGUGAGGUUGAAAAUCAACGUGACAGGAAAAUAAAGUUCUUACGAUCAGAUCCUGGAGGGGAAUAUUUGAGUCACGAAUUUGGCACACACUUAAGGAAAUGUGGAAUUGUUUCACAACUCACGCCGCCUGGAACACCUCAGCAUAAUGGUGUGUCCGAACGUCGUAAUCGUACUCUAUUGGAUAUGGUGUGAUCUAUGAUGUCUCUUACCGAUCUACUGCUAUCAUUUUGGGGUUAUGCUUUAGAGACUGCCACAUUCACUUUAAAUAGGGCUCCGUCGAAAUCCGUUGAGACGACACCAUAUGAAUUAUGGUUUGGAAAGAAACCUAAGCUGUCGUUUCUUAAAGUUUGGGGAUGCGAUGCUUAUGUCAAGAAACUUCAACCUGAAAAGCUCAAACCCAAGUCGGAAAAAUGCGUCUUCAUAGGAUACCCUAAGGAAACCAUUGGGUAUACCUUCUACCUCAGAUCCGAAGGCAAGAUCUUCGUUGCCAAGAACGGGUCUCUGGAGAAAGAGUUUCUCUCGAAAGAAGUAAGUGGGAGGAAAGUGGAACUUGAUGGAUGACCCCUCUCGAACCAGAAAGUAGCGCGGCACAAGAAAAUGUUUCUGUGGUGCCUGCACCGACUAGAGAGGAAGUUAAUGAUGACGAUCAUGAUCAAGUUACCACUGAACUUCGUAGGUCCACAAGGACACGUUCCGCACCAAAGUGGCAUGGCAACCCUGUCCUGGAAAUCAUGUUGUUGGACAACGGUGAACCUUCGAACUAUGAAGAAGCAAUGGCGGGCCCAGAUUCCAACAAAUGGCUUGAAGCCAUGCAAUCCGAGAUAGGAUCCAUGUAUGAAAACAAAGUAUGGACUUUGACAGACUUGCCCGAUGAUCGGCGAGCGAUAGAAAAUAAAUGGAUCUUUAAGAAGAAGACGGAUGCGGAUGGAAAUGUUACCAUCUAUAAAGCUCGACUUAUCGCUAAGGGUUAUCGACAAGUUCAAGGAGUUGACUACGAUGAGACCUUCUCACCCGUAGCGAAGCUGAAGUCCGUCUGAAUCAUGAUAGCAAUUGCCGCAUUCUACGAUUAUGAAAUAUGGCAAAUGGACGUCAAAACGGCAUUCCUUAACGGCUUCCUUAAGGAAGAAUUGUAUAUGAUGCAGCCGGAAGGUUUUGUCGAUCCUAAGAAUGCUGACAAGGUAUGCAAGCUCCAGCGCUCAAUCUAUGGGCUGGUGCAGGCAUCUCGGAGUUGGAACAUUCACUUUGAUGAGAUGAUCAAAGCGUUUGGGUUUACACAGACUUAUGAAGAAGCCUGUGUUUACAAGAAAGUGAGUGGGAGCUCUGUAGCAUUUCUCAUAUUAUAUGUGGAUGACAUACUAUUGAUGGGAAAUGAUAUAGAAUUCUUGGAAAGCAUAAAGGCCUACUUGAAUAAGUGUUUUUCAAUGAAGGACCUUGGAGAAGCUGCUUACAUAUUAGGCAUCAAGAUCUAUAGAGAUAGAUCGAGACGCCUCAUAGGUCUUUCAAAAAGCACAUACCUUGACAAGAUAUUGAAGAAGUUCAAUAUGGAUCAGUCCAAGAAGGGUUCUUGCCUGUAUUGCAAGGUGUGAAAUUGAGCACGGCUCAAUGCCCGACCACGGCAGAAGAUAGAGAAAAGAUGAGUGUCGUCCCCUAUGCCUCGGCCAUAGGGUCUAUUAUGUAUGCCAUGCUGUGUACCAGACCUGAUGUAAACCUUGCCGUAAGUUUGGUAGGAAGGUACCAAAGUAAUCCCGGCAUGGAACACUGGACAGCGGUCAAGAACAUCCUGAAGUACCUGAAAAGGACUAAGGAUAUGUUUCUCGUUUAUGGAGGUGACGAAGAGCUCGUCGUAAAGGGUUACAUCGAUGCUAGCUUCGACACAGAUCUGGAUAACUCUAAGUCACAAACCGGAUACGUGUAUAUUUUGAAUGGUGGGGCAGUCAGCUGGUGCAGUUGCAAGCAAAGCAUCAUGGCGGGAUCUACAUGUGAAGCGGAGUACAUGGCAGCCUCGGAGGCAGCACAUGAAGCAAUCUGGAUGAAGGAGUUCAUUGCCGACCUAGGAGUUAUUCCCAAUGCAUCGGGGCCGAUGACUCUCUUCUAUGACAACACUGGAGCUGUUGCCCUUGCCAAGGAGCCCAGGUUUCACAAGAAGACCAGGCACAUCAAGCGUCGGUUCAACUCCAUUCGUGAAAAUGUUCAAAAUGGAGACAUAGAUAUUUGUAAAGUGCAUACGGAUUUGAAUGUCGCAGAUCCGUUGACUAAACCUCUUCCACGGGCGAAACAUGAUCAACACCAGAACUCUAUGGGUGUACGAUUCAUCACAAUGUAACUAGAUUAUUGACUCUAGUGCAAGUGGGAGACUGUUGGAAAUAUGCCCUAGAGGCAAUAAUAAAAUGGUUAUUAUUAUAUUUCCUUGUUCAUGAUAAUUGUCUAUUGUUCAUGCUAUAAUUGUGUUGUCCGGAAAUCGUAAUACAUGUGUGAACACAUAGACCAUAACAUGUCCCUAGUGAGCCUCUAGCUGACUAUCUCGUUGAUCAAUAGAUGGUUACGGUUUCCUGACCAUGGACAUUGGAUGUCAUUGAUAACGGGAUCACAUCAUUAGGAGAAUGAUGUGAUGGACAAGACCCAAUCCUAAGCAUAGCACUAGAUCGUGUAGUUCGUUUGCUAAAGCUUUUCUAAUGUCAAGUAUCAUUUCCUUAGACCAUGAGAUCGUGCAACUCCCGGAUACCGUAGGAAUGCUUUGGGUGUACCAAACGUCACAACGUAACUGGGUGGCUAUAAAGGUGCACUACAGGUAUCUCCGAAAGUGUCUGUUGGGUUGGCACGGAUCGAGACUGGGAUUUGUCACUCCUUAUGACGGAAAGGUAUCUCUGGGCCCACUCGGUAAUGCAUCAUCAUAAUGAGCUCAAUGUCACUAAGUAGUUAGUCACGGGAUCAUGCAUUACAGAACGAGUAAAGUGACUUGCUGGUAACGAGAUUGAACGAGGUAUUGGGAUACCGACGAUCAAAUCUCAGGCAAGUAACGUACCGAUUGACAAAGGGAAUUGUAUACGGGAUUGCUUGAAUCCUCGACAUCAUGAUUCAUCCGAUGAGAUCAUCGUGGAACAUGUGGGAGCCAACAUGGGUAUCCAGAUCCCGCUGUUGGUUAUUGGCUAGAGAGGUGUCUCGGUCAUAUCUGCAUGAUUCCCGAACCCGUAGGGUCUACACACUUAAGGUUUGAUGACGCUAGGGUUAUAAGGAAGGUUUGUAUGUGAUUACCGAAUGUUGUUCGGAGUCCCGGAUGAGAUCCCGGAUGUCACGAGGAGUUCCGGAAUGGUUCGGAGGUGAAGAUUUAUAUAUGGGAAGUCAUCAUACGGUCACCGGAAGUGUUCGGGGGUAUGCCGGUAUUGUACCGGGGCCACCGAAGGGGUUCCGGGGGUCCAUCGGGAGGGUCCACCUGCCCCGGAGGGCCUUAUGGGUUGUAGGUGGAAGGGAACCAGCCCCUAGUGGGCUGGGCGCCAACCCCCCUAGGGCCCAUGCGCCUAGGGUUGGGGGAACCCUAAAGGGGGGCGUCCCCCUUGCUUGGGGGGCAAGCCCCCUCCCCCUUGGCCGCCGCCCCCCUCUAGAUCUCAUCUAGAGGGGCCGGCCCCCUUUCCCCUUCUCCCUAUAAAUAGAGGGGUGAGGGGAGGGCUGCAGCACCACAUCCAAGGCGCAACCCCUCCCCUCCCCAACACCUCUCCUCCUCCGCGUGAGCUUGGCGAAGCCCUGCCGGAGAACUGCCACUCCAUCACCACCACGCCGUCGUGCUGCUGUUGGAGCCUUCUUCCUCAACCUCUCCCUCCUACUUGCUGGAUCAAGGCGCGGGAGACGUCACCGGGCUGCACGUGUGUUGAACGUGGAGGUGCCGUUGUUCGGAGCUAGGAUCGGAAUCCACCGCGAUCUGAAUCGCUACGAGUACGACUCCCUCAUCCGCGUUCUUGCAACGCUUCCGUCUGGCGAUCUUCAACGGUAUGAAGAUGCACUCUCCUCUCUCUCGUUGCUAGUUACUCCAUAGAUUGAUCUUGGUAAUGCGUAGAAAUUUUUUUAAUUUCUGCUACGAUCUCCAACAAGUGGUACUCCAUGUCCUCCAUAUUUGUUCUUGGAUCUCAAUCUCCCGUCAUGGCAAGAUGGCUGAUAGGUAUGCCUUUUGCACCUGCACAUAUUUCAAAGACAGAGAAUUUUGUGAAAGGUUAGUUACUGAAUGUUCCUCUCUCUUUUCAUUUGGUGGACUACUAAUUUCCCAUGGUGGUGGAUUAGUUAUCUCGCUUUUAUCUUGUUGAAAAAUAUCAACCUCACAUUUAGUGGACUCACACAACACAGUAAUCCUCUCUCCCUGAAUGUGUGGUAUAUCUAGGUGGGGACCUUGCAUUUCUCUAAUCUCAUGAUGAACAAUCUGAUCCUCACAUUUUGUGGACUCACUCACCUCAAUUUUCUUAUCACCCUCAAUAUAUGGAAUUGUGGAAAGUGGACACUCUUCCUCACAUUUGGUGGAGUCACUCAACUCAUUUUUCUUUUCACUCUCAAGUGGUGGGAUUUUUGAAAGUGGACACCAGGGCACCUUUUUUUUUGAGAUUUUUGGUUUCAGUUUCCAAAUAUACUCGGUUUUUUCGGUUAGAAACCAUUUGAUCUUCGGUUUUUUCAGUUAGAAACCAAACGGUUUCAGUUAAACCAAUAGAACCAAAAAUAGCUCGGAUUGAGCUAAAAUCUGUACCUAACCCUUCAGCCUCCACUUAUUUUAUAGCCCCUCGCCCAGUGCGCUGCAGCUCCGUAGGUGAUAUGGUACUAAACAUCUAAACCGCUGGAGCUUGAACUCACCAGGGCACCUUUUUUUUGAGAAAUUUUAAUUUUUUUUUGAGAAAUCUCACCAGGGCACCUGGCGCGCGCGAUACUUAGUUGGGCCUCAAAUUGUCCCGCCCAUACGGCCGCUUUCGUCGAGCGAUCCACGCGCAGACGACUACAUCCCGUCGAUCAAACUAAAAAAACAAUCACUCUAAAAAAACUAUAAAAAAACAAUCUGUCGAUCACUUUUGUCGAUACUCACGAUGAUCGGCCUGGAGAGGGCCCCACCAAGUGGGUCGUGGCUUUUGUUUUGACAUCAAGGUGGGUUGUGGUUUCGUGGUCGUGGGAGAUGUGCAGGAUUGACGUUCUUUCUUUUUUUCUGCUUGCUCCCUCGUGUACUGCCAUCUAUAAAUUCCAAUGCCUACGACCAAAGCACAUGUACCCUCGAAACCUGCCUAAUCCCUCGUAUCUGCUGCCAAUCAUGUCUGCCAUCUAAGGAUCCUAUGUACAUACACAAUUCACACAAGAAAAAUCUAACCUACAUACACAGACCGAAUCAUGUGACCACACAAAUUUUUGUUGUUCAAAAAUUCGCGUCAACUUUAAUUAUUUUGGUUAUUACCGAAACCAAACCAAAAUUAAAUGGUUAUUACCAAAGUAUAAAAACCAUAUAAACCAAAAACCGUAUAAAUUGAACCGAAUCAAACCGAAAAAACCGAAUGCAUAGCCUGACCGCCGCCAGAAUGAGCCACGGACGCGCCGCCGUCGCCGCUCCCAUACCAAAGCUGGACUAAUCUUGUCGAUGACAACGGGGAAGUCUUCGUUCACGUGCCCCUAAGGACCAGCGUCCCGGAGCCGCAGUUGUUGUCGUUGAAUUCUUGAAUAGAUGUGAAGAACCUCACACCAAAUCUCGUCGUUGCGUACGCACGACAAGAAACUCUAACCUCAUCGCUCUGAGAAGCUGGCAAGAAUCUACGCCGAAGCUUCGUCUAAUUCGUCCCGAUAAACGAACUUGAGAAGGAUUGAAACUCGAAAGACUAACUCAAAGAAGAAGCAUCACCAUCCGCUCGAGCGCCGCCUAAAACUCUACCUAUCUAAGUCGUGGCACUAGGAAUAUUCUCUCCGCCAUCGACCGACAGAGUGGCAGGUGGAGGGGAGACGAAUCCACGGUUCGCCGGCGGAGACCAAGGCGAGGAAUGCUCUCCCUAGUCGUCUUGCGAUAGGGGAAAGAAAAAGCUAUAGGCGCGUCUCAAGUUAUCCGUUGUGAAAACCGGCCAUUUGACGCGUGCCACACGGACCUGAGAGCCGAGAACUCUCGUUUCGAAUGCUCACAAAAGUAGAAGGGUGUAAAACUGACACACUUUUCCUAAAUGAAGUAUAACAAAUGAAAUUAUACUAAAGGGAUGCUUAAUGUCACAACGGUCAAAUUAGGGGGGAAACUAAAAUUCACUCUUAAUUUAGUGUGAAAAUACAUGUGAACACCUUUUGAAUUCUUUCACGGAUAAGAUCAGCACCGAAGAUCAUAUCUCACCAAAGCUGUUGCUCACAUGCUCCUGGGUGAUCUUCUGUAGCCGGCUCAACAUCAUGGCGAAGGAGGUAUACACUGGCAGGUUCAGUCGGUAAAUGUAGGUGGACGAUGAAGGGAGAUGCUCUGAGGUCUUCGAUGAUGCUUUAGAUAUGACUAGACCACUACCUAGGUCUAGCCCGCGGAAACCGUCAAAUGGCAAAUAUUCGACAGAGGUUCAGAAGAAGAGCAAUCGUCUCUGCUCUUCAACCAUCAUGCUCUUCACGGCCUGUGAGAUAAAGAUAGGAGGUGGCUAUUACUAGUUGCAAAGAACAUAAUAUGCAGAUUUAAGAGUAAGUGAAAUCUUGCCUUAUCUGAGAAAAAACAUAUCCAGGAAAAACUAAGUUUCUUAUUGGGAAGUGUAUCCGAACAAAAAUAAAGUAGUUGCUCAUUUUAAAAUUUUGGGAGCGGCUAGGCGCUAGCGGCUUGAAAAUUAGCAAAGAGUCAGUCGAUUACGCCCCUAUUAUCUCAACGUUGGUUAAAGAUUCAACAGACAGUACUUCAUCUUCAACCUUGAACCGGUACGCAAUGUUUCUCUUCUUCCUCUUACCGUCGCCGAUCCAUCUCAGGCCUAAUUGCAUGCCUCCUCCAGCGGUGCUCCAGGGAUUGCUUGGCUGGCCCACCCUCCCCUCGAACUCCUCCCACUGUCGGGCUUGCCACAACCCUCGGUCGUCCCGCUAAUCUUGCGAACCACCUAAAAUUUCCAGGCGAACCCGCAACCGCGCCCCUAAGAUACACACUGAGGCUGUUGCUUCCCCGAAGAACCUGUAUCCCCCAGACCCUUAAGAUAGGCACCGAGGUUGCUGCUUCCUUAACAAACCUGCACCCCCGAUACCCCCUAAUGUAGACAAGAUGAAACCUGUCCCUGGUGGUCUCGAUGCUUCGCAUGCCUCCUGCUUCCUUCCCAACAGAAAUGGAAUGACCCAAAUUUCGUUUUCACGUGACUAUGUCCAGAUAAACUAUUAAAAUUUAUUACAACUUGGUAUGAUGUAAAAAAGAACUAUUCUCAUGCGACCUAGAAAUAUGAGGAUUUCAAUUAGUAUAAAAUUUGCACUAGAACAUGGUAGUAAAAUCUAGAGCAACGAAUAAACUGAGAUUGGAGAUAUCAUAUACCUCCCAGAACCAGUUGAUCUGAUCAUCUUGUUGGGUGUACCCCCCCAUCAUAUCUGGUAAAUUCUUUCCAUUCCUGCACAUCAAUGUUGCCGAUGCGCCCGCCCAGCAUACUGUCAAGAUCUUCCAAAUGCAAGCUCAGGAAGAAAUGUUUCCGCAAUUCCGGCUUUACGAGCAUGUAGGAAAAUCCCUUAGCAAAAUGAGUUAGUUGAUCUUUGGUGCUGGCCAUGAAGAGACUUUGGAUCAGCAGAUCGAUGUACUGGCCUCUGUUUUUGCUAUCGACAACGAUAUCUCUCCCUCCCGGAAGGAGCUCAAUGACCUCCCCUGAGCCAAAUACCCCAACUUCCCUCGCAAAUGUGAGACCCAGCGCGUCUGAAUCGACGAGAUCAGGAUCCAUCUCUAGGAUUUUCUUGCAGCUUGCAUGCGCACUUGGGUCUGCGUUUGCAACGUCGUCCAGGGUGAGAGGCCUCCCGGCUAGCUGAAAGAAGAGGGUCCGGUCAAACCGAACCCCCACUGGGACGUUGUGCAUCAGGGCCAGUCCGAUCAUCCGUCCCGCAAAAUCGUAGUACUUCAGCUGCAGUGGAUCCACUCUAGAUGCUGCUUCCAGCCGAAAUGAACGAUUGAAUACAUUAGUCAUGAAAAAUGGCAUUUGAUUUGAUGUGAACAUGAUUUUGAAUGUACUAUUUUCUAGAUAAUGAAGGAAGUAAAGAAAAUUAAACAGGAUGUUGUCACCUCGAUUCAGGAAGAACCUUCGCCGCUCACGCGGACAGGACGAGAAGAGGCCAUGCCGCGGGUCGAACAGCGCAUGGCACACCAGGGAGAUCCACUCCCUUGCUACCCCCUCGCCAAUGGCCUCCUCGUCCUGGAACUCGACGAACAGGCGCCAUGGAGCACGUGGCUCGCCGCCUCGGAGACAUAUCUGAAGGAGUCGGGCAGCAGCUGCGACCAAUCAAUGAGCAUCUCAAGCGCAUGAGGCUCAUCGUCAAACAGCAUGAGCGCUGACGACGUUGCGUCCAUUUCCGGUAGCAUCGCUCUGGCGAAAUGCAUCCGCACGUCGGUCGAACCCGAGGAGGUCCUUGUGCUUGACGACAAUCCGGCCGAUGUCCAUGCACCGGCUCCUGUCGGCGCUGGUACCGAGCACGAGCGCAUUCAGGCACGCCGCGUGCGCCGUGCAGGUGGCCCGGAUGGCGCCGGCCAAGUGGCGGUCCGUCACGGACCACAUAUCUAGUUGGCCUAGCACCACCCAGAUGUCGUCAACCGUAUCCCGCUGGUGCUGCUCCUAGGUCACCAAACCCGGCAAGAUGUUGUGAGUCGCGUCCUGCUGGUGUUGCUCCUUGGUCGCCAAACUUGACCUCCGCUCGCUCGACGGCGAGGCUCCCUCCAACCUCCUCAUGAAUGCAUCGACCGAAAUCAGCAGGGACAUCACCGUCCGGGACAGCACCGCUCCCACAGGACCGUCCGUGCGCUGUGCGUAAACCUCUCGGCGCCGGAAGUAGCACAUCAGUGCAAAGAAUACUCUGAACACAAAUAGCUUAUCAUCCGGGGCCGCCCACCCUGCUGCCAUGUAGCGAAUGAUCACGCCCGUCGCGUCUUUGGCAAUUGGUAUUAACUACUUGAUCAACCACUCUUGAGGCAUCUUCGGCAUGCGUAGCGACGGCGUCCGCUCGAACAAAGAGAGCACUGCCACCAGCCUGUGCCUACACUUCUCGUAGAGCAGGUUGCUUCUGCCUUUGCCGGAGGCGGCGGGUAUCAACCGACAUAACUCCAACAAGAGUGGGAGAAAGCACACCUCAAGGCGAGGGAGUAUGCCGCUUAUCUCCGGAUACAGGAGGCAGAUGAUCACCGAAUUGGCUCUUAAGUAAUGCAGCAUAGAGCCGGUGGAGUAGAGGCGGACCAGAACCCCGAUGACACCGCUGCGCAGGAGGACGUCGAGGUACUCCACGGCCGUCCCUGCUUGUCUCUCGUUGGUGGCUUUGGCGCCGGCAAGGAACUUCUUGACGAGCAGGACGAUGUCCCUGGUGUAAAGCAUCUUGGUGACAUGCUCAAAGUCGGUGCACGGUGAGCAGUUGGGGACACCGAGAUGUUGUGCCAGUGGAUCAAUUUGGACUUUGCCGUCGUGUAUGAACCUCUUGAACAACUCGGCAGUUUCGUUAGAGACACCCAUGUCGGUUGUGGCCGCCGCGGCAAUCUGAGAUGCGCGGCUCCAUGCGUCGGGAUAUCGGGUUAAGUGCAAAGUGGCGUCGCGCGGAAGGUCCAGCUCGCCGAUUUUCGCCUCGAGGUGGAGGUUCCGACACUCGUGCACGGCGUGGAGGUCACUUCUCCUCCUGGGUCCCACGUCCACGAAGCGACCAAGCACCUCGCCUAAAAGUGUCCUGUGGACCCGCCACGACCACGGUCGUCUUGCCGUCGAUGCUCUGUACCGUGAGCCGAGGUAAUAGCACCCCAGGUACCCUAACUUGCACAGAAUGUGAUGAUUUAGUCCCAAACUUGCAAAACUUCAUUCCACCAUACCCCAACUUGCACGCACUUUUGCAGAAAACCUCCUACCGUUUUCUUUAAUCAACCCGCACUCACCUCCCACUGACUGCAAAAGCAUAAAUAACCUAGUGUAAAGUGGAGUACAUCCAAGAUUCCAAGUUUGCUUGGAACUACGAAUGUUCAUGUAUUUCAUAUUCAGAACGACAUGUAGUUGCUACUGUUCCAAAAUAAAAUGUGUAGUUUCUACUAAAAACCACAUGAUAAAACUGUUCAGACUGUAACAGAACAUGUAUCAGUGCACAACACCAUUUUCUUUCAGUCUUUCAGGAGAAGAGAGGUUGCACCCAUGAACAUCUUUACUGCAGCACAAUUUCGCGGCAGAACAUACAUGAUUUCAAGUUCUCAAAGGAGAAAAGAAUUAACAUUGCUCGAUCAAACCAACAUACAAAUUAAUGGGGAGAAAAAAGAAUCACGGAAGCAGCAUGAAUCCUUGGCCGCUACCUGCAAGAACUGCUCUCCUAAUCAGCCAUUAGCCAUUUUUUCUUGCAUCGGCGGCGUCAGUUCCUCCAGAACGGCACAUUGACGUCGCAUGGCCUGGACACCACCUUGGCGCUGGCGGCGAGCCUGUCCACCGUCAUGGCGCACCGAACCGUCACCGGCACGGCCCACGUCCUCACGCCGCCGAGCUGCAGCCGCACGGGCACCGUGAUGUCCACGUCAAACGGCACCGAUCGGAGCCGCUCUGCCGCGGCCAUCUGCCCGCGCUCGCGCUCCGAGAACCGUAUCCCGGUGCCCUUCGCCUUCGCCACGAACACCGUGAUGUUGCACGGCGCCUGGUAGAAGGCCGGCCACGCGCCGUCCGCCAGGCUCACGCCCUCGUACGACACGGCGACGCGGCUCCCGGCGCCGUCGUAGUGCACGCCGACCUUGCCGUUGGCGCUGUUGUCGGCGCGGACGGUCGCGGCGAACCCCGGCGAGAGCGGGCCGGGGGCCGAGGCGUUGCUGACGCCGGCGCGGCCCGACACUGCGAGGGACACGACCGAGUACGCCGGCUGCCUAGGCUUGAAGGCGAGGUAGACGACCCCGACGGCGGCGGCGAGGAGGACGGCGAGGGAGAGGACCACGACGGCGAGGUAGAGGCGCGGAGGCAGGAGCAGUCAGCGCGGCGGGUGUAGUGCUGGAAGAGGCGCGCGUUCUCCGGCGGCGGCACGCGGAAGACCUUGUCUUUGGGCACCUGCACCACGUACGUGCCGGGCUGCGGCGCCGGCGGCUUCUGCUGGUGUUGGGGCGGCGGCGGGACGGGCUUCUCGAAGUGGACUGCAGAGCGGGCUGGGGUGCCAGAAUGUUUUGCGCGCAUUGGUACUUCCCAACCGAAUAGUACUUCUUUAGCACGGAGUACGUCCCAUAGCUUUGGAGUCAAUAGAUGAUCUCUUGUUUUUGUACCAUGGGACAGCACGCACUACGGCUCCUGUUCACCAGUGCACGUACCCAAACUUGAAGAGAGACCAGCAGCCUCCACACUGGCUGGUUCCAACUCAUGACACGGUCCUUCUCGUUGAAGCAUCGAACGGCGCCUUCCAUGCACAUGAAGCUGAAGUCAACCGUGUACUCGAACCAAACUCUAAACCGGUGCCCUGUCACCUCCACGAGGAAAGGAAUAGUGUGGCGGAACCAUUGUCUGAAACAGUCAACAGCAAAGCAAGCAAAUCAGCAAUCAUUAAGCAAAGUAAACGAAUGUACAAAUGUACUAAAACGGAGCACGCCACUCAGCACGUACCCGCCGAGUUCCUUCUUGUGUCUGCACUGCUGCACAGCUUCAUAGAAGACUAAUGACAACUCGUCGUCGCUCUCCUCAUGUCCCAUGCCAACAUCGAACGGUGAAGAUCCAAACUCAACGACCAUCAGCAUCUGGUGCAGUGGGUUGGCUGAAAUUUUGUUCAUUUAAAUUGUCGUUAGUUUCCGAACCAAAUUACUAUUCAAGGAUCUGCACAUCCCAGUUACAAUUUUUUUUUCUCAUAGCCUGAUAGGCACGCACCUGUGGAGCGACGGCAUUCAAACAAACAUUCUAGACCUUGACAGCCGGUGUCAUGCCGAAAGCCACAGGGUUACACCUCCUCAUCUUGUUCUGUGUGAACAAACCACCCGGGCCGCUACUAUAACGAUCGAACAUGGGACUGGUUGAGUUGUUUGCUGAGCUCAGAUCAUGAUAGGGAACACCUGGGAACAAAAUUAUGGGAGGUGAGUGCGGGUUGAUUAAAGAAAACGGCGGGGGGGUUUUCUGCAAAAGUGCGUGCGCUGACCGGUCCAGCCACCUGGCUGCCAAUUGUCGAGCUGUGAUUGGCCUGGGACUAAAUCAUCACAUGAGGUGCAAGUUGGGGUAUGGUGAAGUAAAGUUUUGCAAGUUUGGGACUAAAUCAUCACAUUCUGUGCAAGUUAGGGUACCUGGGUGCUAUUACCUCCCGUGAGCCGGAUGGCGUCAGAUGAGGAGUUUGACUCUUGAGAGAUAGCGACGAUAUCGGGAUCCAUGACACGCAAAGUUGUUUUUACCAGAGCCGACAGCUAGCUGUGAUUGACCAACCAAUAGAAUCCUGCCAACUCAAAACCUGUCCUUUGUUGUAUCUCUGUAUUUCACCGUUUUCUUCAUUGAAGCCACUGUAUUUAAAUAGCUGGAGCCCACCCACAUGAUUUCAGUCAUGCCACUCGCUUUAAUCAUACGACUGGGACAGAGGCAAGUCUCCCAUUUCACACACGUACAGGCAUGCAUUUAAAAGGAUCAACCUCUCAAUUAAAACUGGUUUGAAAUCCUGCCAAAAAGUUGAUACACAUAUCAAUUUCUGUUUCGCAUUUUAAACUUCCAGUUUUAUUAACUUUGAUACACAUAUCAAUUUCUGUUUCAGUAAAUUUAACAAUGCUGAUUUGAAUUCUUUCUAUCACAUAUUUCAAUUAUUUCAACAAACUAAUUUCACUCAUUUUAAAAAAUAAUUUCAAUAGUUUCAGCAAAACUUAUUAUUUAAAAAAUGAGUGUACUACAGAAACAACAACAAAAAAAUCAAUCUUUUUAUAUUUCAAUCAUGAUUUCUGUUAUACCAAUUACACAUAUAAGAAAAAAUUGACACAAACAAUUUCAAUUUAUAUUACCAUAACUUGUUCAAUACAAAUCACACUGAUAUAACAAAUUACACAUAUAAGAAAUACCAAUUUCAUAUAUUUCAGACAAGUAAUUUCAUAUAUUUUCACAAAUAAGUGAAACUGAUUAUUCAAAUGGGUGACAUAAACAAUUUCAAUUUCUUAGAAAAAAGGUGAUUUUAGCUACUCCAAAUUCAUUUUUACUCAAAAAGAGUGAAAUCCAUUGUAGCAAAUGUGACACAAACAAUUUCAAUUUAUAUCUCGACAACUUUUGCAAUACAUAUCACACUGAAAUAACAAAACACACACUUAGAAAAUACCAAUUUCAAAUAUUUCAGACAAGUAAUUUCAUAAUUUUUUUAAUUUUAAUAAGCGAAAUAUUUCAUACACAUACCAGUUUCACUAUUUUUUCACUUCUAAAUGAACGAAGUAUAUUUCGGUUAUUCGGGUAUCUUAUUGCACAAAAGAGUGAAACUCAUUAUUUCAAAGUACUGACAUAAACCAUUUAAAAAAAAUGAACCCACAAGUUCUCAUUCACAUAAUGAAGAAACAACAAUUUCACAAAGAGAAACAUGCAUUCCAAUUUCUGAAAAAAAUGCAUUUCAACAAAAAAAAUACUUUCCAAUUACAACUCUGUUUCACAUCACGAAUGUUAGUUUCACAAAUCCGCAUUUCACAUCAGAUAUAGCAGUUUGACAUAUCUAUUUCGAUUUCGGUACAACAAUAUCACAUAUAUCACACAAUCUGCUAUACAUCUUCCCAUCGAUUUCAAUUAGACACCUUCAUUUCCAUCAAAUAUAACAGUUCAAUAUAUCACACAAGCAGGGGAGUUGUCCAUCUAGUGAAGAAGCAAGGGGGGAUCUCAAAACAUGUACCAUAAAACAAAAAUCAGGAAGUAAACACAGAGAUAAAGAUAUUAGGGGAGUUGUGCUUACUCGGGGGUGGAGGCAUAUGGUCGUGGGCUUCAUGACUCACCAGAUCCGGUGGCAGUCAUUCUUGGAUUCGCCGGAUCCGGUGACGACCCUGCUCGUCGAACCGUCGUGCUAGGUGGCUGCUGUGGAGGAAUAACGUCGGAGCAGGUCUCCCCAACGCCAGCGCCCACGGCAAGGCGGGGUCAGGAGGUUAGGACCGACGGACUUUGUCGGUCCUAGAGGAGAGGUGGCGGCGAUAUAUGGAUGUUA
rnacentral:lncRNA from 1 species